AUAGAAUAUCAUAACUCAAAACAUAAGUUUCUCCCAAAAUCGGGGUGUCACUAAGUACAUGAGCAUCUAUAUAAUGACAUAGUCUGGUACAUUGUUUAGAAAGUAGAGCUGAAUAAAUAACUAAAAGAUAGAGGAGGGGAGUCACGGUCUGCGGACAUCAAGCAGCUACCUCGAUGAUCUCCGAAAGUCUGAACUCUGUGAAUCAAAAACCGCCAUAUUCGGAAGCAACUGGAUCUGCACACGGGGUGCAGGGUGUAGCGUGAGUACAACCAACUCAAUAAGUAACAAAUCUAACUUUUGGACUGAAAAUAGUGACGAGUUUGAGUUUUACAGUCCACGUGCAAUAUUAACACUACAGAAAUUUAUGGAAAAUAUGACAGCGAUAUCUCAGAAGUUCAUAAUCUACAAGUAAAGGUAUAAUAAUUUAGACAUGCUUUCAGGUUUUGCAAUAAAACUCAACACAGAAUAGGGCAGAGUCAGCCCAAAUAAAAAUAAACCAAGGGAGAUCCAGCCCAAAUGUAAAUAAUUUCUAGCAUUGCGCGCACUGUAGAUAUGCAGACUCAAGAGGGGCCGAUCCAUCCCAAGUGCUAUAAUAAGCCAAAUCCUAGCAUGAAUAAAUAAAGUUUACUGCGGUGUGCAGCUCGAUCCCAUGAAUAUCACUUACAAUAGACCCUCAGCCUCACUCAGUCAUUAAUCUUACCAGUCUCUCGGGCUUACCAGGAUCAUCAUAAUCAGCCCAAACAAUGAUGGUAUGAGGUAUCAAAUAAAGGAUAACAGAGACUUAGAUAUGUUAUGAAAAUAAUAGAUGUAACUGAGUACAAAUUGACAAAUUAAGCAAAUAAUUCAAUACAUAGCACGACCUCUGUGGGUCCCAACAGUACCAACAGGGAGCCUAAGUAGGAUUUCAAACACGACUGGCAGCUAAAUUGCUCUAACACAUGGUGAGAAUACGGGUAACAGUUGAUUAUUCAACUAUACAGUUCCACGGAAUCGACCAAGUCACAAUUCUUAUGGUGCACGCCCACUUGCUGUCACCUAGCUUGUGCAUCACCUCUACAAUUACAUAAUACGUAAUUUGGUCAGAACCAAGUUUAAAAGUGUUACUUAUUUCAUACUAUGCAAAACUAUACUCUAACAAGCUCUUGCCUCACGAAACAGCCUCUGAAUUCCUCGAAUCUAGCCACAAAUAAUUCGAUGUGAUCAACUCAAGCUAUAGAAAUCAAUUCCAUAUAAGAUGUUAAGUUCUUAAUCAAAAGUCAAAAGUUAACUCAAAAGUCAGCCCCCGGGUCCACGUCUUGAAAUCCUAUAAAAGUCACAAAAUUUGGAAGCCCAUCCAAUCACGAGUCCAACCAUCCUAAAACUACAAAAAUCCGCCAUCAAGUCGCCACUCAAAUCCCCAAAUUAAACUCUCCAAAUUCCGAGCUUCAAACUCCCAAAAUUACACCUCAAAAACACAUAAACUAGGUGGGAACUUCAAUGGGGAACAUAAUUAAUGAAUAAAAAUCACCACAAAUGACUUACCUCAAUAAUCCCUUUGAAAAUCCUCACAAAAAUCGCCUAAGCCCGAGCUUGAAAUGUCCAAAUAUGAUAAAAAUCUCGAACCCUUGAAUUAAUAUGCACUGCUAGUGGUUCCGCUUCUGCGGUUCAAUUAGCCGCUUCUGUGGCAACGCUUUUGUGGUUAAAAAUCUGCACCUGCAGGCUUACACUCAACCCUCGACCUGCCGCUUUUACGACCAAAGACUCGCACUUGCGAGACUGCACCGCUUCCGGUUCUGCGGCCCAGAGCCAAGUUCCAAUUUCCGCACCUACGACCACCAUUCCGCUUCUGUGGACAUGCAGAUGCGCUCCUUCCUCCGCACCUGCGAUACUCCCAAAUCCAGAUCAACCUUGCUUCUGCGCCACUCCAGCCACACAUGUAGCGUCGCACCUGCGACCAAUGCGAACACACCAGAAAGCUCCCAGCUUCAGCUGUCCUUAAAUUCCAAACCUUGAUCCGUUAACCAUCCGAACUUCACCUGAGAUCCUCGGGACUUCAACCAUAAUACCAAAAAGUCUUAAAACACGAUACAAACUUAGUCGAGCCUUCAAAUCACAUUAAACAAUACUAAAUCGAUGAAUCACGCAUUGAUUCAAGCCUAAUGAACUUUUGAACUUCUAACUUCUACAUUUGAUGCCGAAACCUAUCAAAUCACGUCUAAUUAACCUCAAUUAUUUUACACAAGUCUCAAAUGACAAAACAGACCUAGUUCAACUCUUGGAACUCCAAUCCGAUCCCGGUAACCACAAAGUCCACUCUCGAUCAAACUUCUAAAUUUCCAACUUUCGCCUUUUUUAUAGCCUAAUUGAACUACGGACCUUCAAAUCACUAUCCGUACACGCUCCUAAGCCCAAAAUCACCCAGCGUAGCUAAGAAAACCAUCGAAACUCCGUUCCAAAGUCAUUUACACACAAGUCAACAUCCGGUCAAUCUUUUCAACUUAAGCAUUUAACCUCGAGACUAAGUGUCUCAACUCAUUCUGAAGCCUCACUAGAACCAAACCAACUACCUCGGCAAGUCACAUAGAUACUAUUAAGCAUAAACUGAGCAAUAAAUGAGGAAACGGGGCAACAGUUCUCAAAACAACCGGCCAGAUCGUUAAAAAAGUUACUAUUAUCGUAAACACAAUUAGGUAGUAUAAAGUUAACCUUUAAUGCUUUAAUAUGGGGUCCCAUUACUGUAAGGAGUGAUCCAUAUUCAAGCUUCCUUGAUCGUGGGCAUGCAAUAAUAAGUUUUUAAGUAUUAAAAAAUGAGUUGACCGAAUUACUUGCUCUAGUUUAUUUUUUUGUUUUCUUUCAGGAUAUGUAUAUCCAUGAGUUGCAUGGAGUGAAACCACCUCAGUAUAUCGUACUUAAUAUAGGAUAUUAAAAAUAUGAAGGCGAACGUUAUUUCAUUAGUAAGAACACUCAUGGCAUCUCGUGAGUAUAAAUGGGUACAGCUGUGUUGCAUGCAAUAUUAUGUAUGACUUUCGGACUUCAGGAAAUGUAAACUAAAAAAUUCUCUAGGCCUUUACUAUUGCCUUUAUUUGGUUGAUGUCUAGUAUUUUGUUGUAAUUAAACUAGCACUUUUUGGGAAGACCUAGUACUUGUCGCAUCAUAUACAAUAUUUUUGGGAAGAACUAACACUUGUUGAAAUGCGAUUCCUCCAUUUGUUCUGCUCUCAUUUACCAAGCCGAUUUUCUCUCUAAUUAUCAUUUCAAAAGGAAAAUGAUCCUAUAGUUUAUUCACCAUGACUGCCCGUUCGAACUUGAUAAUUGAAAUAAAAUGGGCCUCUACGAGGCCCACUCCAAGCUUCUUUUGAUUUUUCGUCUGGUAUAUUUCUAUAAGUCUAUAUUUUUGGAUCUUGAAUUCCAUGACAUUUUGUGCAGCACAAGCAAUUUAUAUUUCUACAUAUUAUAUGGCUAGGUUCUCGUAAUAACAAAUACAGAGUCGAAAUAGUAUCCAUUGAUAUGCAAAAUAUGUAAUAUUCUAGAAUUAAGUCAUUUAAAAGCUAACUUUAAGAUAAAUAUUAUGGUGAGUAUCAGUUAAUUAUCUAAAGAGAUGGUAGAUAAAUUGGUAUAGCCCAUUAAGUUGUGAGCAUGCAUAAUUUUUAAUAUCGUUGUAUUUAAAUAUAAAUACUAGUUAAAUUAGGCUUAAUCAAUUAUUUUCAAUUUUUAAGAUGCGUAAUAAUUGUAGAAUUUCAAUGGCAAUGAGAAAUUAACUAGAUAAAAAAGGACAACUUUCUUUAACAAAAAUAGAGAAUGAAGGAUUUUGGGUUGGCUAUUUAAAUAAUUUAUUUUAAGGAUUGAUUAUUUUUGUAUCACUUAUACUUAGAAAAGUUUUAUAUAAAUUUUAAAGUUGUAAAUCCUCAUGUACUAAUGUCCACAUUUUUCUUAGAAAUUAUUUCCAUAUACCCUAAUUUAAUGUUAUAUUCGUAUUAGAAUUGUAUUCAAUGCGUGUAACGACCCGAUCGGUAACCUUGAAAUCGGGAUUUGACGGUCCCAAUAGGUUCAUAGGAUGAUCUUGGACUUGGGAGUAUGUACGGAUCGGGUUUUGGAUGACCCGGGAGCAUUUUGGUGCUUAAUAUUGAAUGUUGUCACAUUGAAGGCUUUUUAAGUUCUUUAUAUUUGGUUUGGAGUAGGUUUUGGUGUUAUCGAGGUCAAUUUGGGAUUUUAAGCUCGGAAAUAGUUCCGUAUAAUGAUUUAAGACUCACACACAAAAUUUGGUGUCAUUACGAGUAAUCUAAGUAUGAUUUGGCGCUUUUGGAGUAAGUUGGAAAAACUUGAAAUUCAUAAGUUGAUUAGAUUGGUUUUGGGGUAUGAUUCUUAGUUUUGAUAUUGUUUUACGCAUUCCGAGAGUGAUACUGAGUCCAUUUUAUGUUUAAAAACUUGUUGGUAUAUUUAAUCGAGGCCUUGGGGUCCCCCGUAUAGGAUUCGGAGGGUCGAUGAAGCUUGAUUGCUCUUUGGAGAAGUCUGAAGGUGGCUGGCAUCUAGUGCGUUCGCACCUGCGGUGGGAAUGGCCGCAGGAGCGGCAUCUCAUUCACAGAAGAGGAAAGGGAGAAAGUCAGCGAGGUCCGCAAAACUGAAGGACUUCUGCAGAAGCGAAUUUGCUUCUGCUAUGAAAGGGUCCGCAGGUGCGGAGUGAUGUAGCUUGGCCAUGGUCGUAAGUGUGCGAGGCGAGCUGCAGAAGCGGGUUUGUAGAUGCGAGAUUUGGCUGUAGGUGUGGCUGGGUGUAGCUCGUGUGUGUUCCGCAGAUGCGAACAAUCGAUCGCAGAAGCGGAAACUCUUCCGCGGGUGCGGAAAAUGAGCUAGGCAGUAAGGUUUAUUUAAGUCGAAGACUUAGGCAAUUUUUGCUCACUUCUUUCAUCUGUCGGGCGAUUUUGGAGCUCUUUGAGAGGGGUUUUUACCUAGAACUUUAAAGUAAGUAAUUCCUAUAUGAGAUGAGUUUAACACAUAUAUAUUGGGUAGAUUCUUAGCACACAAAGUGUAGAAAUUGCGGGUUUAGUUGAAAAUUUUAGGUUUUGAUAAAAAUGGGAUUUAACCACGAAAAUGAUUAUGGAGGGUGAAAAUUAUAUAUUUGAGUUCGAGAGGUUAUGGGUACAAUUAUCUUCGAAAAUUUUCGGAAUCUGGGCAUAUGGGCCCGAGGGUGAAUUUUAGAAAUCUUCCAAUUUUGGUUGGGUAAUUACUUUAGNNNNNNNNNNNNNNNNNNNNNNNNNNNNNNNNNNNNNNNNNNNNNNNNNNNNNNNNNNNNNNNNNNNNNNNNNNNNNNNNNNNNNNNNNNNNNNAUAUUCGGAUUGUACGAAACCAAGUAGAGGCCUUAGAGUGAAUUUGUGGGCUAGAAAGCGAGAUUUGAGACGAGGUAAGUCUUUUUCCUAAUCUUGUAAGAGGGAGUUUACCCCAUAGGUGUUUUAAAUUACUAUUUGCUUUUAUUUGUGGGGGUGGGGAUACGUACAUACGAGGUGAUGAGAGUCCGUGCGUAGCUACUAAUCAUGCUAAGUUUGAGUAGUUUAGGACCCAAAUCAUGAAAUACUUAUGUUGUUUGCACCCUACUUUUUAAUUUAAGUGAUUAAAUUGUAUUGAAACUUGAUAAAGAAUUCGUAAAGGCUGAACUUCACUUACCUUGAGUUUUGGCGGAUUACUUGACAGUUAAUAGAAAUGGUGCUUCCUUGUGUAUUAGUCUUGUAGUAGCUCUUAAAUCAGAUAUUCAUAGAGUAUUCUCUCUUUUUGUCAAGUGGGCCGAACACCUCGGCAGUAUAAUAGGUGCAUAUAUGGUUCGUGCCGCUUGACCCUCGGCAGUGUACAUAUUAUUCUAGAUCGGGUCGUACGACCUCAGCAUAAAUCGUGCAUGAUAAUGUUUGGAGCCCGAAUACACUUGAUAUUAUAUUUAUGACAUGAGAGGUUAUAAUUUAUUCAAUGGCCUGAAAUUGUUGAAGCUAGUGUUGUGUCAAUUGAAGCCAGAUCUCAGGCGGGAGGGGGGCACAGACCCCGAUCACUCAGGCUCCAGGGCAUGCUGCUGUCGUAUAUUAGACCUCGGGCGCACUACCCGUGGAGGAGCUAAGCCAAUUGCAACAGCUAUACUUGAGCUUAGACCAGCAGCGGCCGGUGAGCCGCAGAAGCUGUUGGAUAGAUGGAACAGGCUACAUCCUCCUAUCUUUGGAUGUGAGCGACAUGAGGACCCCCAGGAGUUUAUUGAUUAUUGUAGGGACAGACUGAACAACAUGAGGAUAUUGGAGUCCCACGGGGUGGAUUUUACCACCUUUAAGCUGGAGGGCAGGGCCCGUAGAUAGUGGCAGUCGUAUCUUCUCGGCAGACCAGCAGGUUCUCCUCCCAUGACUCGGGACAACGCCUCUUCAUGGAAAGAUAUAUUCCACCCUCUCAGAGGGAAGAGUUGCGAUAUGAUAACCUUUUCUUAUUUUGAAAGAAAAUACUGCAUUCCGAGGCCUUAAAAAGCUCUUUCUGCAUUACCUCGAUUUGCGUGCACAAUCCGAGCACGUAGUCGAAAAGCUAAUAUGUGAAACUCUGUGGAAAAUGAUAAAUUUUGACUUUAAAAUGAAUUUAAGUUGACUUCGAUCAACAUUUUAGGUAAACGGAUCCGGACGCAUGAUUUGACAGUCCCUGGGGAUCCGUAAGAAAAUAUGGGACUUGGGCAUAUGCUCGGGACCGAAUUCCGAGGUCCCAAGCCCGAGAAAUAAAUUUUUGAAAGAAAUUAUUUUACUGAAUUAAUUAUGAAGUAAAGAAGAGAAUUUAUGUAUGAAACCAUUGGUAUCGGGCCCAUAUUUUAGUUUCGGAGCCUGGUACAACUCUUAUAUAUGAUUUGAGUCGAACUUGUGAAAGUUCAUAAGAAAUAGACUUGAAAUGAUAUGAAUCGGACCUUAUUUGAAAAAAAAUUGAAAAUUUGAUGUUCUUAAGAAAAUUUCAUGAUUUUGAUGCUAAAUUUAUAGUUGUUGAUGUUAUUUGAGAGAUUUGAAUGCAUGAGCAAGUCCAUAUGAUGUUUUUAGGUUGGUGUGCAUGUUUGGUUUGGAGCCCCGAGGGCUCGGGUGAGUUUUGGAUAGGCCACGGAGUAGAAUUGGAUUUGGGAAAAUUGUAGGUUUCAACUGUUCUAUUGUAGGCCUGCAGGCUUCGCAUUUGUGAAGCCUGGCUCGAAAUGCGAGUUCGCAAAUACGAGGGCUGAGUUGCAAAUGCGAACUAGCCCAGACCACCAUUCCCUAGCAAAUGCGAGUUUUCCAUCGCAAAUGUGAUGUUCCCCAUUUUGGCCAGCCAUCACAAAUGCGACAGAAUGUUCGCAAAAGCGACUUUGCAAAUGCGAAGGUCGCUUCGCAAAUGUGAUAAAAACAGAGUCUAGGUUCGCAAUUGCGAACCCUGGUCGCAAUUGUGAUACCUGCAACCUGUAAAUUUACACUUAGAUGCAUUUUCAACCAUUUUUCACAUCUUCUCAAAACGUAAACUCUCUUGGGCGAUUUUCCAAAGAAAAGUUCUUCUCCAAAUCAAUUGUAAGUCGUUUCUAACUAGUCUUCUUCAAUCUUUAACAUCUUUUCACAUGAUUUCAACUCAAAAUCAAUGAUUUUCAUUGGGGAAAUUGGGUGUUUUGUGUAGAACCUAGGUUUUUUUUAAAAUAUUGGGGAUUUGGACCUCGAUUUGAGGUCCAAUUUAAAAACAAAUUAUAUAUUUGGGUUCGUGGCGGAAUGGGUAGUCGGGUUUUGGUUCGAAACUCAGUUUUGACCAUGUGGGCCCGGGGCGAUUUUUGAUUUUUUGGGUAAAACUUUGGAAAACUUAUUUCCAUGCAUUAGAAUUGAUUUAUUUACCAUUUAUUGACGUAAUUAAGUAAUUUGUGGCCACAUACGAGCGAAUUGGUAGUGGAAUCAAGAGGUAAAGAGAUAAUUGAGACUUGAAUUGUAUUCGUGGCAUCGUGGUAAGUGUUUGGUCUAACCUUAGCUUGAGGAAUUAGGAGUCGUGUUUUAUGUGCUACGUAUUAACUGUGGAUUACGGCGUAUAGGCAUGGUGACGAGUAUCUAUACGUCGGUGUCAAGCAUGCCCGUGAGUCUUGUAUGGUAAUUAUUAUGACCUCGUUGUGCUUUAUUGUGCUUCAUAUGAGGAUUAUCGUUAUUGUUUACUUGCUGGGAUGUUAUUGUCAUAUUUUGUUCCCUAGCCGGGAUAUGUGUUGUGAUAUUAUUAUUCCCUUGUCGGGAUGUUGUUGUAAUAUUAUUGUUCCUUUGCCGAGAUGUUGUUAUAUUGCUAUCGUUUCCUUGCCGGGAUUCUUUUAUGAUUGGUGCUAAUAUGUGAAAUGGGAGCGGGUUGCACGCCUACAAUGGUAAUAUAUGAAAUGGGAGCUGGUUGCACGCCUGCAACAGUAAUAUGUGAAAUGGGAGCGGGUUGCACACCAGUAACGGUGAUAUGUGAAAUGAGAGCGGGUUGCACGCCUGCAAUGGUAAUAUAUGAAAUGGGAGCGGGUUGCACACCUGCAAUGGUAUCAUAUGAAAUGGGAUCAGGUUGCACGCCUGCAACGGUAUUACAUGUGUACCUGUUCUUCUUAUUUCCUUAUCUUUACUGGUACUUGAUUUAUGGCAUUCCUUAUAUUUCCCUAUUGUUGUGCUGUUGUUAUCUAUUACUCCCCGCAUCAUGUUUUUAUCGCCCAACUUUAGUUGUAAUUAUCUGUUUCUAUUUCCAUUGUACAUGAUUUAACUGCACGGGUUUAUUUGGUAGUCUGGUCCGGUCCUAGCCUCGUCACUACUUCGCCGAGGUUAGGCUAGGCACUUACGAGCAUAUGGGGUCGGUUGUGCUGGUACUACACUCUGGACUAUGUACAGAUACUGAUACCAGAGCGUUUGGACCGCAGUAAGGGUGUUGUCUUCAGUCCAUACAGGCGAUCCGAGGUAGUUCUGCAGACGUCCGCAGGCCUUGGCGCCUCCUCCUAUCUUUUCUCUUUCUGUUUUUACUUAUUCAGAGACAGACUUAUGAAUUUCAUUCAGACCUUGUUUGUAGUAUUCUUAGGCAGUCCGUGACUUGUGACACCAAAUUCUGGGUAGUUUUGUACUUCAAUUAUGUAGCAGUGUUUGGUUGGAAUAUUAAGUUUCGGCUUCCGCAUUUUUGACUGUUUAAUCUUAUCUUGUUGUUUAAUCACUUAGUAUUUUACAUUGUUUAAUAUGCUUAAUAAAAACGGAAAUGAAUUUGCAAUAUUUGGCUUGCCUAGCUUCCACGAGUAGGCGCCAUCACGACUCCCGAGGGCGGGAAAAUCCGAGUCGUGACAAGUUGGUAUUAGAGCUCUAGGUUACAUAGGUCUCACAAAUCAUGGACAAGCUUAGUAGAGUCUGAGGGAUCGGUAUGGAGACAUCUGUAUUUAUCCCCCAAAGGCCACAGAGUUAGGAAAAACUUUAUAUUUAUUCUUUCCUGUCGUGUGGUUUGGUUUCUUAAUGUUAAUUGAAUUUCUACUUUGUUCUUUCUUAGAUGGCGAGAACACGCGCUUCCUCAUCCACUGACCAGCAGCCCGAGCCCCAAGCAGCAGCUCCUAUGAGGGGCAGAGGGAAAGGUUGAGGUCGUGCUAGAGGCCGAGGUAGGGGCAAAGCUCAGCCUAGAGCAGCAGCACCAGUGGCGGAGCCUCAGGUUGACUUUGAUGAUGAGGUUCCGGCCCAUGCAGUUCUGGUGGGCCCAUUUCAGCUCCUAGAGGGGUUUAUUGCUACCCCAGUACUCUAGGAUGCUCUGGUCUAUCUAGUAGGCCUUAUGGAGAGCGUUACCCGGGCAUGAUUGCUUCCUGUAGCACCAGCCGUCUCUUAGGCUGGAGGAGGAGCCCAGACUCCUGCUACUCGCACCCCGGAGCAGAUGGCUCCCCAGUUUUAGACUCUAGGAGCUCAGUCAGUUGGAGUAGUUCAGCCGGGUGUGGUAGCUCAAACCGGUGAUGGAGCAACUAUGUCUGCCAAUGUUUAGCGGAGAUUGGAUAGGUUCACCAAGAUCUUCACUACUACUUUCAGCGGUUCAUCUUCUAAGGAUCCCAGGAUUAUCUAGACAACUGUCAUGAGGUUCUCAGGAACAUGGGGAUAGUGGAGACCAAUCGGGUCGACUUUGCUACUUUUCUGCUUGUCUAGAUCCGCCAAUACUUGGUGGAGAGAUUAUUAUUUGGCUAGGCCAACCGGAUCACCAACUUUGACUUGGGAGCAGUUUACUCAGCUAUUUCUGGAGAAGUUUCUCCCUAUCACUCAACGAGAGAUCUACCGGAGGUAGUUUGAGUGUCUCCAGCAGGGUUCUAUGACCGUUACUCAGUAUGAGACCAGAUUCAUCGACUUGGCUCGUCAUGCCCUUAUCAUACUUCUCACCAAGAGAGAGAGGGUGAGGAGGUUCAUUGAGGGACUUAUUCAGCCGAUUCGACUUCAGAUGGCUAGGGAGACAAGGAGUGAGAUUUCUUUUCAGGAGGCGGCCAAUGUGGCCAGGAGAGUAGAGAUGGUUCUGUCGUAAGGAGGUGGUCAGGGGUCUGAUAAGAGGCCUCGUCAUUCAAGCAAAUUCAGUGGUGCCUCGUCUGGAGGUAGGGAUUCGUAUGGUAGAGGCCAUACUCCUAGGCCUUUUCAGUCAGCACUUCAGGUUUCCCACGGUGCUUCAGGUGGUCGUGGUUUUCAUAUGUAGUAUUCUGAUCAGAAGUCCUAUAGUGCACCACCAGCUCCUAUUUUGCAUCACCGCUUCAGAGUUUUCAGGGUUGUCAGCUCCUAUCAGUGCAUUGCCGCUAUGGUACAGAUACUAGGUGCUCCACCACCCGCUCCGCUAGCUAAGGGUGGGAGUAGAGGUUCUAGAGGUGGAGGUAGAGGUAUUAGAGGUGGAGGUUAGGCAGCUAGAGGUGGAGGCAGGCCAGCCAGCAGCAGACCGUCCCAAAGAUGUAGUUCAGGGUGGUGGAGCCCAGCCCCGAUGUUAUGCUUUUCCAGCCAGGCCUGAGGCUGAGGCUUCUGAUGCAGUCAUCACAGGUACUAUUCUGGUUUGUAGUACAGAUGCUUCAGUUCUAUUUGAUCCAGGCUUUACAUACUUCUAUGUUUCAUCUUAUUUUGCAUCGUAUCUGGUCAUUCUUAAUGAUUCUUUGAGUGCCCCUGUAUAUGUAUCUACACCGGUGGGUAAUUCUAGUAUGGUAGAUCAAGUCCAUUAUUCGUGCAUAGUUGUGAUUGGGGGUCUCGAGACUCAUGUAGAUUUGUUACUUCUGAACAUGGUUGAUUUUGAUGUCAUACUGGGGAUGGACUAGUUAUCACCUUACUACGUUAUCUUGGACUAUCAUGCCAAGACUAUGACCUUAGCCUUGCUAGGUUUACCUUGCUUAGAGUGGAGAGGGACUCCUAAUCAUUCUACCCGUAGUGUUAUCUCUUAUUUGAAGGCUCGGCGUAUGGUCGAGAAGGGGUGUUUGGCCUAUUUGGCAUAUGUUUGUGAUUCUAGUGUCGAGGUUCCUUCUAUUGAUUCUGUGCCUGUUGUUCGUGAGUUCCCUAAGGUAUUUCCUUCAGACCUACCGGGUAUGCCACCCGACAUGGAUAUUGACUUCUGCAUUGAUUUGGCUUCGGGCGCUCAGCCUAUUUCUAUCCCGCUGUAUCAUAUGGACCCGCCUGAGUUGAAAGAGUUGAAGGAGCAGUUGCAAGACUUGCUAAAAAAAGGUUUCAUUAGACCUAGUGUUUCGCCUUGGGGUGCUGGUGUUGUUUGUUAAGAAGAAGGACGGAUCGAUGAGAAUGUGCAUGGAUUACCGGCAAUUGAACAUGGCUACAAUCAAGAAUAAGUACCCAUUGCCGAGGAUUGAUGAUUUGUUGGAUCAGCUUCAGGGUGCUAAGGUAUUUUCGAAGAUUUACUUGAGAUCUGUCUACCAUUAGUUGAGGAUUAGGGCAUCUGAUAUCCCUAAGACAGCUUCCCGCACUCAGUACAGGCAUUACGGGUUCUUAGUGAUAUUGUUUGGGUUGACAAAUGCCCCAGCAGCUUUUAUGGAUUUGAUGAAUCAAGUGUUCAGACCUUACUUGGAUUCGUUCGUGAUAGUCUUCAUUGAUGAUAUUUUGAUCUAUUCCCGCAGCCGGGAGGAGCACGAGCAGCAUCUUAGAGUGGUUCUUCAGACUUUAAGGGAUAUUCAGUUGUAUGCCAAGUUUUCGAAGUGUGAGUUCUGGUUGAGUUUAGUUGCAUUCCAGGAUCAUGUUGUAUCGGCGGAGGGUAUUCAGGUUGAUCCAAAGAACAUUGAGGCAGUUAAAAAUUGGCCUCAGCUAUAGAGAUCCGGAGUUUCUUGGGAUUGGUAGGCUAUUAUCGUCGUUUGUAGAGGGGUUUUCGUCUAUUGUGGCCCCGAUGACCAGGUUAACCCAAAAGGGUGCCCAGUUCAGAUGGUCAGACGAGUGUGAGGCGAGCUUUCAGAAGCUCAAGAAAGAUUUUACUACGACACCGGUGUUGGUUUUGCCCACAGGUUCAGGGCCUUAUACAGUUUAUUGUGAUGCAUCUCGUAUUGGACUUGGUGCAGUGUUGAUGCAGGAUGGUAAGGUCAUUGCAUAUGAUUCGAUGCAGUUGAAGAUUCAUGAGAAGAAAUAUCCAAGUCAUGAUUUGGAGUUAGCAGCCAUUGUUCAUGCGUAGAAGAUUUCGAGGCAUUAUCUGUAUGGCGUGGCAUGUGAGGUGUUCACGGAUCACAAGAGUCUGUAGUAUUUGUUCAAGUAGAAGCAGCUAAAUUUGAGGCAGAGAAGGUGGUUGGAGCUAUUAAAGGACUAUGAUAUCACCAUCUUAUAUUAUCCGAGAAAGGCCAAUGUGGUGGCCGAUGCUUUGAGUAGGAAGUCAGCUAGUAUGGGUAGCCUUGCUUAUAUUCCGGUCGGUGAGAGGUCGAUUGCUUGGAUGUUCAGGCUUUGUCCAAUCAGUUCAUAAGGUUGGAUGUUUCUGAGACCAGUCGUGUGUUAGUUUGCACAGUCGCUUGUUCUUCAUUAUUGGAGCGUAUCCGUGAUCGGAAGUAUGAUGAUCCCCAUUUGUGUGUCCUUAGAGACACGGUGCAGCACGGAGGUGCCAAGUAGGUUACCUUAGAAGAUGAUGAAGUUUUGAGAUUGCAGGGUCGAGUUUGUGUGCCUAAUGUGGAUGGACUCCGAGAGUUUAAUUUUAGAGAAGGCCCAUAGUUCCCGGUACGCUAUUCAUCCGGGCGCCGCUAAGAUGUAUCAGGAUCUGCGGCAGCAUUAUUAGUGGUGGAGGAUGAAGAAGGACAUUAUUGCUUAUGUGGCUCGGUGUUUGAACUAUCAGCAGGUUAAGUACGAGCAUCAGAGGCCCGGUGGCUUGUUCCAAAAGAUUGAGAUUCUCGAGUGGAAGUGGGAGCGUAUUACUAUGGACUUCGUUGAUGGACUCCCACGGACUCAGAAGAAAUUUGAUGCAGUGUGGGUUAUUGUUGAUAGGCUGACCAAGUCAGCACAUUUUAUUCUGAUGGCAGUCUCCUAUUCGUCCGAGAGGUUAGCUGAGAUCUAUAUUCGAGAGAUUGUUUGUCUUCAUGGUGUGCCCGUGUCUAUCAUUUCGGAUUGAGGUACGCAAUUUACCUCACAUUUCUGGAGAGCAGUUCAGCGAGAAUUGGGCACACAGGUUGAGUUGAGCACAAUGUUUCAUCCUCAGACGGACUAGCAGUCCGAUCGGACUAUUCAGAUUUUGGAGUAUAUGAUCCGAGCGUGUGUCAAUUACUUUGGAGGCUCGUGGGAUCAAUUUUUGCCUUUAGCAGAGUUUUCCAACAACAACAGCUACUAGUCGCAUAUCUAGAUGGCUCUUUAUGAGGCUUUGUAUGGUAGGCGGUGUCGGUUACUGGUUGGAUGGUUUGAGCCGGGAGAGGCUCGGUUGUUGGGUACGGAUCUGGUGUAGGAUGCCUAGGACAAGGUCAGGGUUGUUUAGGAUAGGCUUCGCACAGCUCAGUCCAAGCAAAAGAGUUAUGCCGACCGCAAGGUUCAUGAUUUGGCUUUCAUGGUCGAUGAGUGGGUAUUGCUUCGAGUGUCCUCUAUGAAGGGAAUGAUGAGAUUUGGGAAGAAGGGCAAGCUUUGCCCUAGGUUCAUUGGCCCGUUUGAGAUUCUUGAUCGAGUGGGAGAGGUGGCUUACAGACUUGCGUUGCCGCCGAGUUUUUAUCAGCCGUACAUCCAGUGUUUCAUGUAUCCAUGCUUCGGAAGUAUCAAGGCGAUCCAUCCCACAUGUUAGAUUUCAGCACUGUCCAGUUGGAUAAGGACCUGUCCUACGAGGAAGAUUGUAGCUAUUCUAGACCGGCAAGUUCGUUAGUUGAGAUCAAAGAGUUUUCCUUCUGUUCGUGUUCAGUGGAGAGGUCAGACUGCUGAGGCAUCGACUUGGGAGUCCGAGUCCGAUAUGUGGAGCCGUUAUCCCCAUCUUUUCCCCGACUCAGGUACUUUCUUCUUCUGUCCGUUCGAGGACGAACAGUUGUUUUAGAGGUGGAGAAUGUGAUGACCCCUUGUUUUGAAAGAAAAUUCUGCAUUCUGAGGCCUUAAAAACCUCUUUCUAUAUCACCUCGAUUUGCGUACGCAGUCUGGGCGUGUAGCUGGAAAGCUAAUAUGUGAAAAUUUGUGAAAAAUAAUAAAUUUUGACUUUAAAAUGAAUUUAAGUUGACUUUGGUCAAUAUUUUGGGUAAACGGAUCUGGACCCGUGAUUUGAUGGUCCCGGAGGAUCUGUAGGAAAAUAUCGAACUUGGGCGUAUGCCAGGGAUUGAAUUCCGAGGUCCCAAGCCCGAGAAAUAAAUUUUUGAAAGAAAUGGUUUUGCUGAAUUAAUUAUGAAGUAAAUAAGCGAAUUUAUGUAUUAAACCAUUGGUAUCGGGCCCAUAUUUUGGUUUUGGAGCCCGGUAUAGGUCUUAUAUAUGAUUUGAGUCGAACCUGUGAAAUUUGGUAAGAAACGGACUUGAAAUGAUAUGAAUCGUACCUUAUUUGAAAACAAUUGGAAAAUUUGAUGUUCUUAAGAAAAUUUCAUGAUUUUGAUGUUAAAUUCAUAGUUGUUGAUGUUAUUUGAGAGAUUUGAAUGCACGAGCAAGUCCGUAUGAUGUUUUUAGGUUGGUGCGCAUGUUUGGUUUGGAGCCUCGAGGGCUCGGGUGAGUUUUGGAUAGGCCACGGAGUAGAAUUGGACUUGGGAAAAAUGCAGGUUUCAGUUGUUCUAUUGUAGAGAGGGCUGAUCGCAAAUGCGAACUAGCCCAGGCCAGCCUUCCCUCGCAAAUGCGAGUUUUUCAUCGCAAAUGCGAUGUUUCCCAUUUUGGCCAAUCGUCGCAAAUGCGACAGAAUGUUCACAAAUGCGAAGGUCGCUUCGCAAAUGCGAUAAUAGCAGAGUCUGGGUUCGCAAUUGUGAACCCUGGUAGGAACUGCGAUACCUGCAACCUGUAAAUUUACACUUAGAUGCAUUUUCAACCAUUUUUCACAUCUUCUCAAAAUAUAAACUCUCUUGGGCGAUUUUCCAAGGAAAACUUCUUCUCUAAGUCAAUUGUAAGCCAUUUCUAACUAGUUUUCUUCAAUCUUUAACAUCUUUUCACGUGAUUUCAACUCAAAAUCAAUGAUUUUCAUGGGGAAAAUUGAGUGUUUUGGGUAGAACCUAGGUUUUUUUCAAAAAUUGGUGAUUUGGACCUCGAUUUGAGGUCCGAUUUCAAAACAAAUUAUAUAUUUGUGUUCGUGGGGGAAUGGGUAGUCGGGUUUUGGUUCGAACCUUGGGUUUUGACCAUGUGGGCCCGGGGAAAAUUUUUGACUUUUUAGGUAAAACUUUGAAAAACUUAUUUUCAUGUAUUAGAAUUGAUUCAUUUAGCAUUUAUUGACGUAGUUAAGUAAUUUGUGGCUAGAUACGAGCGAAUUGGUGAUGGAAUCAAGAGGUAAAGUGAUAAUUGAGACUUGAAUUGUGUUCGUGGCAUCGAGGUAAGUGUUUGGUCUAACCUUAGCUUGAGGUAUUAUGAGUCAUGUCUUAUUUGCUAUGUGUUAACUGUGGAGUACGUCGUAUAGGCAUGGUGACGAGUAUCUAUACGUAUGUGUCAAGCAUGCCUGUGAGUCUUGUAUGGUAAUUGUUAUGACACCGUUGUUGUUUAUUGUGCUUCAUAUGAGGAUUAUCAUUAUUGUUCCCUUGCUAGGAUGUUAUUGUCAUAUUUUGUUCCCUAGCCGGAAUAUGUGUUGUGAUAUUAUUGUUCCCUUGACGGGAUGUUAUUGUAAUAUUAUUGUUCCCUUGCUGGGAUGUUGUUAUAUUGCUAUCAUUCCCUUGCCGGGAUUCUUUUAUGAUUGGUGCUAAUAUGUGAAAUGGGAGUGGGUUGCACGCCUGCAAUGGUAAUAUAUGAAAUGGGAGCGGGUUGCACGCCUGCAACGGUAAUAUGUGAAAUAGGAGUGGGUUGCACGGUUGUAACAGUGAUAUGUGAAAUGGGAGCGGGUUGCACGCGUGCAACGGUAAUAUAUGAAAUGGGAGCGGGUUGCAUGCCUGCAAUGGUAUCAUAUGAAAUGGGAUCGGGUUGCACACCUGCAACGGUAUUACAUGUGUACAUGUUCUUCUUAUUUCCUUAUCUUUGUUGGUACUUGAUUUAUUGCAUUCAUUAUAUUUCCCUACUAUUGUGGUGUUGUUAUCUGUUACUCCCCGCAACAUGUUUCCCCCGUCCAACUUUAGUUGUAAUUAUCUAUUUCUAUUUCUGUUGUAUAUGAUUUAACUACACAGGUUUAUUUGGUAGUCUAAUCCUAUCCUCGUCACUACUUCGCCGAGGUUAGGCUAGGCACUUACCAGCACAUGGGGUCAGUUGUGCUGAUACUACACUCUGCACUGUGUGCAGAUACUGAUACUAGAGCGUUUGGACCGCAGUGAGGGUGCUGUUUUCAGUCCACACAAGCGAUCCGAGGUAGUCCUGCAGACGUCCACGGGCCUUGGCAUCUCCUCCUAUCUUUUCUCUUUCUGUUUUUACUUAUUUAGAGACAGACUUAUGUAUUUCAUUCAGACCUUGUUUGUAGUAUUCUUAGACAGUCCAUGACUUGUGACACCAAAUUCUGGGUAGUUUUGUACUUCAAAUUAAGUAGUAGUGUUUGGUUGGAAUAUUAAGUUUCGGCUUCCGCAUUUCCGACUGUUUAACCUUAUCCUGUUGUUUAAUCACUUAUUAUUUUACAUUGUUUAAUAUGCUUAAAAAAGGGAGAUGAAUUUGCAAUAUUUGGCUUGUCUAGCUUCCACGAGUAGGCGCCAUCACGAGUCCCAAGAGCAAAAAAUCUGGGUCGUGACAUGCGAUUUCAAUUCGAGCAGCUCUAGUAGGGCCAGAUGUCAGUGACCGACUAAGAGGCGAGAUUCUUUGAGUUGUCUUGCCAUGCACUUGUGAUACAUACUACCGAUACAGAGAGAGUGUGAAGGUUCGUUACAGGUUUGCACUCGGGUAUCCAGGUGACUAUGGCCCCAAAGGUUGAGAUGGGGACUUUAUACGAGCAGGUUGUGGAGAUAGCUCGGAUGAUCGAAGGUGUUUGUCAGCAAAGCCGAGAGCAUGUGAUGAGGGAUAAGCAGUUCCGAUAUUCUGGAGGGUUCAGUAGUGCUCUGACUGGGGCAGAGGCCAGUUUGUGAGGGGUCAGUCUAGCAGGCCCACAUAUCCAGCACCGCUGCCUCCUUAGGGUGCUCCAGUGCAACCCUAUUUCAGUGUUAUUCUAGAGAGCUCUUACCGUUCACCAGCUAUUCAGGGUUCCUCCAGUGGAUCUUCAGGAAACCAGGGUAAGGCUUCAGGUCAGUAGUCCACCGUAUGGAGAAGUUGCUUCGAGUGUGGGGAUCUUGGUCAUGUGAGGAGGUUUUGCCCCAGACUUUGGGGCAAGGCAGUACAACAGGGUCAACAACCUAUGAUUAUAGCACUCAUUGCCGCACCAUUUGUCCGGCCGCCCAGAGAUGGAGGACAGGUGGGUAAGGGUCAUCCUUGAGGUGGAGGCCAGUUAGGUGGUGCUCCAGCUAGGAACUAUGUCUUUCUAGCCAUACCAUAUGUAGUAGCCUCAGAUGUUGUGAUCAAAGAUAUUAUUUCUGUCUACAGUAGAGAUGCUUGGGUACUAUUUGACCCAGGGUCUACGUAUUCAUAUGUUUCAUCUCUAUUUGCUCAUUUUCUAGGUGUCCCUCGUCAGUCCUUGGGUACUCUUGUAUAUGUGUCCAUGCUGGUGGGCGAUUUUGUUGUUGUGGAUCAGAUCUACCGGUCUUGUAUCGUGACUUUAUAUGGUUAUAAGACUAGAGUGGAUCUUUUGUUGCUCGAUAUGACCGACUUUGAGAUCAUCCUGGGUAUGGACUGGUUGUAUCUAUAUAAUGCCAUCCUUGAUUGCCAUGCUAAGAUUGUUACCUUGGCGAUGCCAGAGUUUCCUAGAUUAGAGUGGAAGUGUUCGUCUGUCAGUGCAUCUAGUCUAAUUAUCUCUUUUCUGAAGGCUCGAUACAUGGUCGAGAAAGGUUGUUUGGCUUAUCUAGCUUACAUUCGGGAUAUUGCUACAAAGACUCCAGCGACUGACACAAUGCUCGUGGUCUGGGAGUUCUCUGAUGUGUUUUCUUCUGAUCUACUAGGCAUGCCACCAGAUCAUGAUAUCGAUUUCUGUAUUGAUUUCGCCUCAGGUACCCAGACAAUCUCUAUUCCACCGUAUCGCAUGGCUCCAAAAGAGUUAAAGUAUUUGAAAGAACAGCUUGAGGAGUUGCAAAGGGGUUUGCCAGACCGAGUGUGUCGCCUUGGGGUGCACAAAUUUUAUUUGUGAAUAAGAAGGAUGGGACUAUGCGAAUGUGCAUUGAUUACCGCCACUUGAACAAAGUUACCAUUAAGAACAAGUACUCGUUGGCAUGUAUUGAUAUUUGUUUGACCAGUUAUAGGGUGCCAGGGUUUUCUCUAAGAUCGACUUGAGAUCGGGGUAUCACCAGUUGAAGAUUCGUGAUUCGGAUGUUCCGAAGACGGCUUUCUCGGCUUGAUAUGGCCAUUAUAAGUUUCUAGUGAUGUCCUUCGAUUUGACUAAUGCCCCGGCGACGUUUAUGGAUUUGAUGAACCAAGUAUUCAGGCCAUAUAUUAACUCAUUUUUUAUUGUCUUUAUUGAUGUCAUAUUGAUCUAGUCACGUAGCAUUGAGGAGCACGAGCAACAUUUGAGAGUGAUGCUUCAGACCUUGUGGGAACAGAAGCUAUAUGCUAAGUUCUCCAAGUAUGAGUUUUGGUUAGAUUAUGUGGCAUUCUUGGGGCAUGUUGUAUCAGGUGAGGGUAUUCAGGCAGAUCCCAAGAAGAUCGAGGUAGUUCAGAUUUGACCUAGUCUUACCACAGUGACCGAGAUCAAGAGCUUCUAGGGGUAAGCUAGUUAUUACCGUCAGUUUGUGGGGGGCUUCUCAUUUAUUGCAGCACCUUUGACUAGAUUGACCUAGAAGGGUGUUCUAUUCUGAUGGUCCGAUGAUUGUAUGGCAAGCUUUCAGAAGCUCAAUACCAUAUUGACUUCAACACCGGUGUUAGUGUUGCCAUCCGGUUCAGGGAUGUAUAUUGUGUAUUGCGACGCUUCACGCAUUGGUUUGGGUUGUGUAUUGAUGCAAGAGGGGUGAUUUAUUGCAUAUGCCUCACGUUAGCUGAAGCCUCAUGAGAAGAAUUACCCCGUACAUGAUUUGGAGUUGGCCGCGAUAGUUCAUGCUCUCAAGAUCUGAAGGCAUUAUCUUUAUGGGGUGUCCUAUGAGGUUUACACCGAUCAUUGCAGCUUGCAGCAUUUGUUCCAGUAGAGGGAUCUCAAUUUGAGGCAGCGCAGGCGGCUUGAGUUACUAAAGGAUUAUGAUAUUACCAUCCUUUAUCAUCCGAGCAAGGCGAAUGUGAUUAUGGAUUCCUUGAGCAGAAAGCUCAAGAGUAUGGGUAGUUUGAAAUUCAUUUCAGCAGAGAAGAGGCUGGUAGCUUUGGACAUUUAAUCCUUGGCUAACAAACUUGUGGGUUGGAUAUUUAAGAGCCCAGUCGAGUUCUUGCAUGCAUCGUCGCUCAGUCUUUAUUAUUCGAGCAGAACAAGGCUCAUCAGUUCGCCGAUCCGCACUUGUUGGUCCUUGGGAAAUGGUACUAUAGGGUGGUGCCAAGGAGGUUUCUAUCAAUGAGGAUGGUGUUCUGCAACUCCAGGGUCGUCUAUGUGUUCCUAAUGUUGAUAGGUUGAGGGAAAAGAUUCUAGAGGAGGCACAUAGUUUUGGUAUUCUAUUCAUCUACGUGCUACGAAGAUGUAUCGUGACCUGAGGCAGCAUUAUUGGUGGAGGCGGAUGAAGAAGGACAUAUUUGAGUAUGUAGCGAGGUGCCUAAAUUGCCAGCAUGUUAAGUAUGAGCACCAGAGGCCAAGUGGCCUACUCCAGUAUGGUAUGCCUGUUUGAUGCAGUUUGGGCUGCCGGGGACUUUGAGGAAGUUUGAUGCAGUUUAGGUCAUUGUUGACAGGUUGACCAAGUCAGUACACUUCAUUCCGAUUGUGACCACGUAUUCAUCAAAGAGAUUGGCCCAGAUUUACAUUUAGGAGAUUGUUCGGUGGCAUGGUAUGCAUGUUUCCAUCAUAUUAGAUAGAGGACCUCAGUUUACUUCACAUUUCUGGAGGACAGCAUAGAGUGAGUUAGGGACCCGGGUUGAGCUCAGCAUAGCCUUUAAUCCGUAAACCGACGGGCAGUUGGAGUGGACGGUUCAGAUCUUGGAGGAUAUGCUCAGAUCAUGUAUGAUUGAUUUUAGAGGGCAGUGGGAUUGACUUUUGCCUUUGCCGAGUUUUCAUACAACAACAGUUGUCAAUCCAGCAUCGAGAUGGAUACAUUUGAGGCUUUAUAUGGUCAGCGAUGUCGUUUGCCCAUCGCAUGGUUUGAUCCUGGCGAGGCUAAUUUAUAUGGUACUGAUUUGGUGAAGGAUUCCUUGGAAAAGGUAAAGUUGAUUCAGGAACGAUUAGGCACAACACAGUCUAGAGAGAAGAGUUACACGGAUCAGAAGGCGCGUGAUUUAUCAUUCAUGGUGUGCGAUAAGUUUCUCUUGAAUGUCUCACUGAUGAAGGGGAUCAUGACAUUCGAGAAGAAGGGAAAUUUGAGCCCAAGGUUCAUAGGUCCAUUUGAGGUAUUGAGGAGAGUUAGAGAGGUUGCUUAUGAGCUUGAUUUGCCUCCCAAUCUAUCAGGAGUUUAUCUGGCUUUUCACGUGUCUAUGCUCCGGAAGUAACGUGCUGACUGGUCGCAUGUGUUAGACUACAACACUGUUCAGCUAGAUGAGAGCCUAGGUUAUGAGGAGGAGCCUAUUGCCAUUAUUGACAAGCAGGUUCGCCAGUUGAGGUCCAAGAAUAUUUUUGCGGUAAAAGUUCAGUGGAGGGGCCAACCAGUCGAGGAGGUGACUUUGGAUACCGAGGAGGACAUGCAAAGUAGAUAUCCACACUUAUUGGUCACUCCAAGUACGAUUCUAGACCCGUUCGAGGACGAACGUUUGUUUAAGAGGUGGAGAAUGUAAUGACCCAACCGGUCAUUUUGCUUUUUAAAUCCUCAUUCCUCUAACCAAGACUCCUCGCGUGUGAUUUUACUAUCUUAUGACUUGAGGGGAUGAUUAGUUAGGGUUUGGAAGGGUUCGGGUUGAAAUCGGAACACUUAGUUCCUUAUAUUGGCUUAAAAUGGUUAAGUUUGACUUAAGUCAACAUAUUGAGUAAACAACCUCGGUACCGGGAUUUGAUAGUCCCAAUAGGUUUGUAGGAUGAUUCUGGACUUGGGCGUAUGUUUGGAUCGGGUUUUGGAUGACCCGGGAACAUUUCAGCGCUUAAUAUCAAAAGUUGGCACAUUAAAGGCCUUUCAAGUUCUUUAAAUUUUGUUUGGAGUAGGUUUUGGUGUUAACAAGGUCCGUUUGGAUUCCGAUCCUGUGAUUAGCUUUGUAUGGUGAUUUAAGACUUGCACGCAAAAUUUGGUGUCAUUCUAAGUAGUCUAAGUAUGAUUCGGUGCUUUCGGAAUAAGUUGGAAAAACUUGAAAUUCAUAAGUUGAUUCGAUUGGUUUUGGGGGUGUGAUUCUUAGUUUUGAUGUUGUUUUACGCAUUCCGAGGGAGCUAGCGGGUCCGUUUUAUGUUUACGAACACGUUGGUAUAAUUGGUCGAGGCCUCGAGGCCCCCGUAUAGGAUCCGGAGGGUCGACGGAGCUUGAUUGCACUUUGGAGAAGAGCUGAAGGAGGAUCGCAUCUGGUGCGUUCGCACCUGCGGUGGGAAUGGCCGAAAGAGCAGCAUCGCAGGUGCGGCGUCUCGUUCACAAAAGCGGAAAGGGAGGGAGUCAGCGAGGUCCGCAGAAGUGAAGGACUUCCGCAAAAGCGAACUCGCUUCUGCUAUGAAAGGGUCCGUAGGUGCGGAGUGAGGCAACGUGGCCAUGGUCGUAGGUGCUCAAGGAGAGCCGCAGAAGCGGGCUCGUAGAUGUGAGAUUUGACUGCAGGUACGGCUAGGCAUGGCUCGUGAGUGUUCCGCAGAUGCGGACAAUCGACCGCAGGAGCGGUCCCGCAGAAGCAGAAAUCGUUGGGCAGUAAGGUUCAUUUAAGUCGAAGACUUAGGCAAUUUUGGCUCAUUUCUUUCAUCUCUUGGGCAAUUUUGGAGCUCUUUAAAGAUGGGUUUUCACCUAGCACUUUGAUGUAAGUAACUUCUAUAUGAGAUGAGUUUAAUACAUGUAUUUUAGAAAGAUUAUUAGUACAGAAAGUGUAGAAAUUGUAGGUUUAGUUGAAGAAUCUAGGUAUUGAUAAAAAUGGGAUUUAACCACGAAAAUGAUUAUGUAAUAGGGUGAAAAUUAUAUAUGUGAGUUCGAAAGGUUAUGGGUAACAAUUAUUUUCGAAAAUUUAUCCGGGCACAUGGGCCCGGGGUGAAUUUUAGGAAUCUUCCAAUUUUGGGUGGGUAAUUACUCUAAUAGCGAAAAUUUUAACCUUUGAGUGUAUAUUGAUUAAUUUAUAUAACAUUGUGCUAGAUUCGGAUUGUUCGGCACAAAGUUGAGGUCUUAGAGUGAAUUGUUGGCCGGAAAGCGAGCUUUAAGAUGAGGUAAGUCUCUUUCCUAACCUUGUAAGAGGGAGUUUACCCCAUAGGUAUUUUAAAUUACUAUUUGCUUCUAUUUGUGGGGGGGAGGGGGGGCUACGUACGUAUGAGGUUCCGGGUAGUUUAGGACCCAAAUCAUGAAAUACUUGUGUUGCUUGCACCCUACUUGUUAAUUUAAGUGCCUAAAUUGUAUUGAAACUUGAUAAGGUAUUCGUAAAGGCCGAACUUCACUUACUUUGAGUUUUGGCGGAUUACUUGACCGUUAAUAAAAAUUGUGCUUCCUUGUAUAUUAGUUUUGUGGUAGCUCUUAAAUUGGAUAUUCAUAGAGUAUUAUCUCUUCUUGUAGAGCGGACUGAACGCCUCGACAGUAUAAUAGAUGCAUCUAUGGUUCGUGUCGCUCGACCCUCGACAGUGUACACAUUAUUGUAGAUCGGGUCGUACGACCACGGCAUAAAUCGUGCGUGAUAAUGUUUGGAGCCCGAAUACACUUGAUAGUAUAUUUAUGACAUGAGAGGUUAUAAUUUAUUCAAUGGCCUGAAAUUGUUGAAGCUAGUGUUAUGUCAAUUGGAAUUUAAAUUUAUUAUUUGUUAAUGAACCAUCUAUUUAUUGUUAGUUAUUGUGUUAUUAUUAUUAUUAUUAUUCACGCACUUCAUGGCAUUAGAUUUCUGUAUUUUAUUAUUGGCCUAUAGUAAGUGUCGAAGUCGACCCCUCGUCACUACUUCUUUGAGGUUAGAAUGGAUACUUACUAAGUACAUGUUGUUUAUGUCUCACGCUACACUUCUGCACUAAUCGUGCAGCAUCUGAGGCAAGUGCAUGUAAUGACCGGAUUGAUCGUUUUGAGCUUUUGCACUUCGCUUGCCAGUUCUUGGGUAUGUCUAGAGCCAUGUGAUGUAUUAUGACUUAUAUAAAUCGUCGAUUUUGGAUUUCAAGGAAAUCGGAAUGAAUUUUGAAGAACAGUUCUCAAUUUGAAGCUUAAAAUUUGAAAGGUUUGAUCUAGAUUUGACUUGUUAGUAUAUGAUCUCGAAUUGGAAUUUUUAUGAUUUGGUUAGCUCUAUUAGAUGAUUUGGGACCUAGGAGCGUGAUCAGAAUGUAUUUGGGAGGUCCGUGGAAGGUUUAGGCUUGAAUUGGCGAAAUUAGGAUUUUGGCAUUUUCCGGUUGAUAUGUGAGAUCUUGAUUUAGGGUCAGAAUGGAAUUUCGGAAGUUGGAGUUGGUCCAUUGUGUCAUUUGUGACGUGUGUGCAAAACUUCAGGUUAUUCGGACGAGGUUUGAUAGAUGUUUUAAUCGAAAGCGGAAUUUGGAAGUUUUUGGAAUUCUUAGGCUUGAAUCUGAUGUGAUUUUGGUUGUUUGAUGUUUUUUGAGUGUUUCGAAGGUUGGAACAGGUUUGAAUAAUGUUAUGGGAUAUGUUUUCAUGUUUGGCUGAGGUCCCAAAGGCCUCGGGAGAGUUUCGGGUGGUUAACGGAUCAAAUUUUGGACUUUGGACUUGGCAUUUUUGCUGGUUUUUAUUGCAGACAUUUUUGUUCAUCGCGUUUGUGGAGGUGCAUCGCAUUCGCGAAGGGUAUUUUGUGUGAUGAUGAUUUCCGUUCUACUUGUUCGCGAGGGGAGAUACGCAUUCGCGAAGGGGAACUGGAGGCAAGGGAGGAUUUGUGCUCCGCGUUCGCGAAGAUGGAGUCGCGAUCGCGAAGGUCCGUUCAGUGGUGCAUCGCAUUUGCGAGAUGUUCCUCACAUCCGCGUAGGAGGAUACUUGGUCAGUAGAAAAUUUUGUUAUGCGAACGCGAGUGUGUGGCCGCGUUCGCGAAGGGUUAAACCUGGGCAGUAUUAAUUAGCCAAUCCGCGACCCUUCUUCAUUUUUUCAUCAUUUUUGAACGGGAUUGAAGCUUUUGAGAGGGAUUCUUGAGGAAACCAAAGGGUAAUCUCUUUGAGGUAAAAUUCUUGACUCUAUAACUCGUUUAUAUGUGAUUAAAGGCCUAAGUAGUGGUGAAAUUUUGGGAAAAUCAGUGCAAAACGGGUAAUUAGGGCUUGAGAUCAAGAGAUCUUAAAAAAGGUAUUUGAGGGGUCAAUUGAACUCCGAUUUCAGUGUUCUUGAUAUGUAUAGACUCGUAGGAGUAUGAGUAUCAUUUUGGCAUAAAUUUUAUUGAGUUCCGAGAUGUGGGCCCAGGGGCCGAGUUUGGCCAAUUUCGAGAUUUUUGAUGUAAAUUGGAUAUUUUCGAGUGGGCUUUGUUCCUUUAGCAUAUUUUGAUGGUAUAAAUCUGAUUUUGGUUAGAUUCGGAGAAAUUGGAGACUGAUUCGAUAGGCAAAGGCAUUGGGGGCUAGAGUUUGGACCGAAUCAAGGUAAGUAAUGAUUGUAAAUGUCUGUCAUGAGGGUAUGAAACCCUGGAUUUCACAUCGUUGUGCUAUAUUGAGGCGACGCACACGCUAGAUGAUGAGCGUGGGGUCGUGUACUAUUGGGGAUUGAGACUCAAUCCAUCCCGUAUGACUAUUUUACUGCGUAUUUGAUUGAAAAUUGUUUGCUAUCAUCAUGUUUUGGGAUGAAUUUGGGCCUCGUGCCAAUUGUUUUGGACCCUUAGGGGAUCUUUAUUGCUAUUUCGUCACAGUUUUGAUUUUAUAUCUGUACUCAGUCAUGCUAUAUUCUACUGUUUUCAUAACUUGGCCAUGUUUACUCUAUUUUAAUAUUUUAAAUAAUAUUUUGGGCUGAGCAUCAUAUUUUACUGUGCCCGAGUGGCUUUUAGAAAUUUCUGACUGAGUAAGACCGAGGGCCUAUAAUAUGAGGAUACUUUGGGUCGGGCUGCACGCCGUAGCAGUGAUACACUGAUUUAUGAUUAUGACGCCGAGGGACUGAGUUGUACGCCACAAGGUGGCUUGAUAUGAGGCCGAGAACCUAUUGAUUAUGCCACGAGGUGGCUUGAUAUUGUGCUUGGUCUGUAAGGGGCCCCUCCCGGAGUCUGUACACCCCCAGUGAGCGCGGGUACCCUGAGUGAGUGAUAUAUUGAUUAUGCCAUGAAGUGGCUUGAUAUUGCGCUUGGGCCGUAAGGGGCCCCUCCUGGAGUCUGUACACCCCUUUUGAGCGUGGGUACCCAGUAUGAGAUGUGAUAUAGCCUGAGGGGCUGAUGUUGUUCCAUGUUCUUGCCCAAGGGGUGGUUAUUGAUUUAUGUUAUGCCCGAGGGGCUGAUUACGAGUGUUUGUGAGGUAGCCCGAGGGGUUGGUUCUGUUGAUAUUAUGCCUGAGAGGCGGUUUAUGGUACAUGUUUUCCCCGAGAGGCUGUUUAUGUUUCCAUCCUUUUUACUCAUUGUUUUAUCACUCGUUUGAAACUAUUGAAAGUUUUUUUAAAAAGGUUUUAUGGAAACUGAGCUUGAUUUACGAAAUAAAUGAUUUCUGUAUUGUUUUGGAAAGGUAUUGCAUUUGAUGUAGUGUUACCCUAUGUUUUACGUGUUUUCUUACUAUUCAGCUUUCAUUUACCUUUAUUACUUAUUGAGUUGGAGUACUCAUAUUACUCCUUGUAUCUUGUGUGCAGAUUCAGGUAUUUCUGAACCCGGUAGCGGGUGUUGAUUGCUCAGAGGCAGAGUCAUCGUAGUUUAGCAAGGUUGCUGCCCGGCGUUCGCGGCACAGCUUUUCUCCCUUUUGUUUCAUUAGACUAUAUUUAGUACAUUUUCAGACUUUUCGUUGUAUUCAGACCUUAGUAGAUGCUCGUGACUUGUGCCACCCCGAUGUCGGGCUUGUAUAUUAUUUCUGCCCUGUCCAUUUAGACUCAUAUUAUGAAAUAUUUAUUUAAAUUAAAGGCUUAAACAUGAUUCUUAUUGAUAAAUGGUUAAUUUGGGAGUUAUGACAGCUGGCCUAGUUUCAUGAUAGGCGUCAUCACGACCGGGUCGAUUUUAGGAUAGUGACAAGUUGGUAUCAAAGCCUAGGUUACAUAUGUCUCACAAGUCAUGAGCAGGUUUAGUAGAGUCUCGCGGAUCGGUACUGAAAUGUCUGUACUUAUCCACGGGAGGCUGCAGAACCUUUAGGAAAAACUUCACAUUCUUGAAUUCUUAUCGUGCAUCCUUGAUUCAGCUUAAAAUGUAACUCUUUGAAUUCCUUCCACGCAUUUGUAUGCGCGCAUGAGCGCUCAGUACCAGAUGUGUAUUGAUGGCUUGUGAUUCCCUGAUCGAGGGGCGAGAUGUGAUCUCUGUGUGUUGAUGUUGGGCUAGUUUGGAGGACUUGAGGCCAGAUUUUGAUAUAGCUUGAGCUUUGAGGCGUUGAUCGUGUGAGCAUGUGCUUUUGGAUCUAUAUGUCUGAUAGUGUCCCUAUUAGUGGGAGUGAUGACUGGAUAGCUAUGUGACGAGUGUGAUGUGACUACGAGAUGUGUUCAUAUGAAUUGAACGAGACAAGAUGGUCUGCUUGGGGGUAGUAAGGACUAUCUGGUGCUUAAUUUCCAUUGUGAUUUGAUGUUUAGCCCGGUUUAUAGGCGUGUUGAAGGACCUUUUCAUGUUGCCUAGUUGGGAAGUGAAGUGGAUUUCACGUUGUGAUAUGAGUUCAGACUCAGGAAGAUUAAGUGACUACGUAAAUGUCUAUGAUGAUGGAAGGGUAUAAGGAGAUGUUAGUUUGAGGCGAAGCAGGUGGGUUAUCUCCUGCGGAGUAUUUUGGAGUUUGUGUGAUCCUUAUGUUGUUUGUUGGAAGAUCUCUUGUACCAGUGAAAUAUAUGUGUUGCAAAUUGAAUUUGGGUCACUUAGAGAGUGGGUUUGACUGCUACGAGGGAGAAUGCGAGAUUUGCAGAAGGUUUAAAGUACUAGAUGGUCUGUGUUUCACGAGUUUAUGAAGGAUUAAUUUUAAUCUCACGAUGGUAUUAUGGCAGUAAUAGAGUAUAUUCAUUAUGAGUUAUUGUGUGUUUUUAUCUACAGCUUUGAGCCAAGUGGGGGAGUCUGUUAUUGAUUAGUUGAUAGCAUGGUUAUGUGCUAUGUUGGUUCCAGUUUGAGGCGUACUAAUGAAUCAGCUAUGGCUUACGAAGGUCGAGACCGAGGAUGGCUCGAGUAAAGGAAAUUUCAAUAAAGGUUAUGUUAUGCUUUAUGGGUGUAUAAGAAUCGCAGAAUGACUUGAGUUAUUAUGAGUAAAGGGUGUAUGGUGCAUAGAACAGGAAGUUGCUUGGUUGCAUUAAGGUGAGGUUACAUUCUACGAUGUUGGAUUGCUAUUAGAGCACAGGUCGUUCGGUCCAUUUGAUCGGUCUAAUUGCGGUUUGAGUAGAGGGGAUGACUCUUGUUAAUAGUUCUAAUGAGUUCAAGAUUUUACAUGUAGUAAUUGGAGAUUUUCAAGUUGUAUAUUUGUCUAGAAACUGAGUUUUUCAUUGGAGGGUGUCAAGACUCGUGGUAUUUCUAUAUCGUCAUGGGAUUCUAUAUGUCAGUAUCAGGCAGGUGAAGGAAACGACUUUGGGAUCGCAAGAAAACCCUCCAGGGUAGGUAUUUUGAAUGUGGUGCUUUUGGGAAUAUUUAAGAGAGUAUUCAGCGGCUUAUGAGCCUUAGACAGCGUGGUUUUAUGAUUGGGUCUCGUGUGGUGAGUCUAGGUUAAGGAACUAUGGUGUUAUAGCAAGAAGAAGUAUCAAGUUAAAGGUAAAUCAGAAGGAACUUGGAUUGAUGGGAUAGCUUGGUAGUAGGCCGGAUCGGCAUGAUAAGGUUAUGAUUAGUUCUUUGGAUACGUACGAGGUAAUGAGUUUCUACAAGUGUUUCACGGCAAUUCUAUUGGAUUUUAGUGGCCUGUGUAGCUUGGUUAAGUUAGAAGGAUUCGGUCCUGACAUGUUUGGUUUUUUGCAAAGGGGAGUCGGAGAGUUCUUGAUGAUUUCUACCACAGUUUGGAGGUGUAUAUUUUCUACUGGCAUGAGUAGCAUGGGAUGUACAAUGAUUUUCUUCUAGAUGGGAUCAAUGGAAAGUUCUUGGCUAGUUGAGCACGUAGCUGCUUGUGGCCCAGAAGGGAUAUGAAGUUCUCAUGUUUAUCCUAGGAUGGUAUGGUAUAUGUGGUAUGUUCUAUAGGAUUAAGAUUUGCAUGUGUAAGGUCAUGGUUCAUAUUUGAAAGGAAGGUCACAAAUUCUUAGAUAGCAUGAGCAGUUUCAGAUGACUGGAUAAAUGAGAACACGGACUGGUGUGGCUUGAUGAGGGUAUACAUUUUUGAAAGGACGACAUGUUUGAGUUGAGGAUACAUCAUUAGUAUUGCGGCACUCUUUUACUGGGUCGACUGCUGAUAUUCGAGUUUGCUUGGUGGCACAGAAUAAUGAUAGGAGUACCUCUCAUGGGAUGAUUGGGUAUUAGAAGUGUGUUGUAUAUUCGGACAGUGGAGUUGGGAUCAGAUAUGGUGAUUCGCGUGCUGUAUGGAUUUGGAGACUGGGAGUUCUCAUAGACAGGUUAGGUCGUGGUUGUGGACCGCAUAUCCCGGUCUUAUGUGGUGACUAUUGGGGGUUUGGAGACCCGAGUGCAUCUAUGUUACUUGGUAUGUUAGAUUUUGGAUGUGAUAUUGGGUAUAGACUGGUUGUCUCAGUGUUCUGUUAUUCUGGACUGUUGCGCUAUGACGGCGACGUUGACUGCCGAAAAUGCCACGGAUUGAGUGGCGAGGUUCGACGGAUUAUGUUCCUAGUAGGGUGGUGUCAUUUUUAAAGACCCAGCGGAUGGCUAGGAAGGGUUGCCUUUCUUAUUUGGCCUUCAUGAUGGAUGUCAGUGCAGAGACUUCUACCAUUGGUUCAGUUCCGAUGGUGAGGGAUUUUUCGGAUGUGAUUCCUGCUGCUGGGCAUGUCACCAGAUACGGUUGUUGAUUUCGGUAUUGAUUUGGUGUCGGGCACCGUAGUGUAUGGCAGCGACGGAGUUAAAGGAGUUGAAGGAGCAGCUUCAGGAACUCCUUGAUAAGGGGUUCAUUGGUAGGCCAAUAUGGAGGUGUGUUCUACAUCGAGUCGGCUUGGUUGACUCUGAGUCGUAUUGUUGAGGGAUGUGUUGAGUCAAUUGUUUGAGCUUAUUAGUGAUCUGGGAAGAUCUAUGAGUUACCUUUUCGUGUUGCGAGGCAUUAAGAUUUGUUGGUUACAGGCACAUGUGGCGCGGUAUUAUUGGGGUCUCUUAGUGUAAUUCGAACGGAAAGAAUAUUGAGUAUUACUCGGCGAAUGGCGUAUCGGUUGUGUCCUUUCGGGUUUGUGUAUUGUUAUGUCAAUUGUUUUUCCGUGGUUAUGAUGAUUUUCUUUGGUUCUAGACAUCAAAUUGUGCGCGAUUGUCGAUUUUGAGCAUAGUUACUUGAGGCGUUUCAUGUGGACCAGUGUUUGGGUAGGGCCGCGCAUUGCAGCGAAGUUAUGUAGAGGUAUGACCUUUCGGGUUAGAUUCAUGUGUUUUGUUUCUACGAUGUGUAACGGGUUCUCAACAUUAUGUUGUGGUGGUACUGGUGAGCCUGCGGUACAGCUCUUUCAUUUGAGUCAUUUUCCAUGAUGUGAGUACGUUCAGAUUGUUGCUUAUUGGUGUACGGAUUGCACGAGUUGUGGCUUUAGAUGGUAUUGAUGUGUCAUGUCACCAGAGUAGUUGUGUUGGAUUGGAUGAGAUCGUUAGGAUCUAGAAUGAAUACAAACGGAUUCGAUUUCAGCGUGUUGGAAGGAUAAUAUUGAUGUUCGGCUCAGAAAUUCGCCAUGGUUCUUGCCAAGGGGGAAGUGGCUUCACGAAUGGUUGAUCUGGAGAAUAGUUAUGACUUUCUACGUGUUUUAUUUAUCAUUGGCAGUGUACAGAAGUGUUAGAAUGAGGCUUUAUUUGAUAAGAGGCUUAUUAUCAUUAAUCGGUUGUUUUGAGCAACUGUUGUGAUUAGAAGUUAGCGCUGCGAGUGUUUGAGUUAUGUGGUAUAUUAUGUAAUUGCAUCUGAGGUUGCAGGUAUGGUUUGUUACAGCUUGUUCGGGCAUAUUCAGAGCAUAGAUGUGAAAUUCUGAUCUUAUAGAUGAUUUCAGAAGUGGAAAUAUGGUUCUAAGGUUUAUAGGCUAGGUUGGAUUGUGAAACCUAUAGUUACAUUAUGUUAUCGGACCUAUAUGAGAUAGGGUGACGUCGGAUCACCCCCAGGUAUGUGCAUGGUAAGAUUACACAGCAAUUUGAUGGUUUUCGGAAAAACCCUGGGCACGUUUGAGGACGAACGUAUGUUUAAAUGUGGGAGGAUGUAAUGACCCGACCGAUCGUUUGAGCUUUUGCACUUAGCUCACCAAUUCUCGGGCAUGUCUAGCCCCAUGUGAUGUAUUAGAACUUAUGUAAAUCGUCGGUUUUGAUUUUCAGAGUAACCGAAAUGAAUUUUGAAGAAUAGUUCUCAGUUUGAAGCUUAAAAUUUAAAAGAUUUGACCAAGAUUUGACUUGUUAGUAUGUGAUCUCGGAUUAGAAUUUUUAUGAUUUGGUUAGCUCUGUUAGGUGAUUUGGAACUUAGGAGUAUGAUCGGAAUGUAUUUUGGAGGUCCGUAAAAGGUUUAGGCUUGAAUUGGAGAAAUUGGGAUUUUGGCAUUUUCUGGUUGAUAGGUGAGAUUUUGAUUUAGGGGUCGGAAUGGAAUUCCAGAAGUUGGAUUAGGUCUGUUGUGUCAUUUGUGACGUGUGUGCAAAAUUUCAGGUCAUUCGGACGAGGUUUGAUAGACUUUUUGAUCGAAAGAGGAAUUUGGAAGUUUUUGGAAUUCUUAGGCUUGAAUCCGAUGUGAUUUUGGUGUUUUGAUGUUGUUUUGAGUGUUUCUAAGGUUGUAACAGGUUUGAAUGAUGUUACGGGAUAUGUUGGCAUGUUUGGUUGAGGUACCGAGGGCCUCGGGAGAGUUUCGGGUGGUUAACGGAUCAAAUUUUGUACUUUGGACUUGGCAGUUUUGCUGGUUUUUGUUGCAGACAUUUUUGUUCAUCGCGUUCGCGGAGGUGCAUCGCGUUCGCGAAGAGUAUUUUGUGUGAUGAUGAUUUUCGUUCUACUCAUUCCCGAGGGGAGAUACGCGUUCGCGAAGGGGAACUGGAGGCAAGGGAGGAUUUGUGCUCCGCGUUCGCGAAGUUGGAGUCGCGAUCGCGAAGGUCCGUUCAGUGGUGCAUCGCGUUUGCGAGAUGGUCCUCACGUCCGCGUAGGAGGAUCUUUGAUCAGUAUCAAAUUGUGCUACGCGAACGCGAGUGUCUGGCCGCGUUCGCGAAGGGUUAAACCUGGGCAGUAUUAAUUUGCCAAUCUGCGACCCUUCUUCAUUUUUUCACCAUUUUUUAACGAGAUUGAAGCUUUUGAGAGGGAUUCUUGAGGAAACCAAAGGGUAAUCUCUUGGAGUUAAGAUUAUUGACUUCAUAACUCAUUUAUAUGUGAUUAAAGUCCUGAUUAGUGGUGAAAUUUUGGGAAAUAUCAGUGCAAAAUGGGUAAUUAGGGCUUGAGAUUAAGAGACCUUAAAAUGGGUAUUUGAGGGGUCAAUUGAACUCCGAUUUCAGUGUUCUUGAUAUGUAUAGACUCGUGGGAGGAUGAGGAUCAUUUUGACAUAAAUUUUAUCGAGUUCCGAAACAUGGGCCCGAGGGCCGGAAUUGGCCAAUUUCAGAAUUUUUGAUGUAAAUUGGAUAUUAUCGAGUGGGCUUUGUUCCUUUAGCAUAUUUUGAUGGUAUGAAUCUGAUUUUGGUUAGAUUCGGAGCAAUUGGAGACUGAUUCGAGAGGCAAAUGCAUCGCGGGCUAGAGUUUUGACCGGAUCGAGGUAAGUAAUGAUUGUAAAUAUCUAUCCUGAGGGUAUGAAACCCCGAAUUUCACAUCGUUGUGCUAUAUUGAGGUGACGCACACACUAGAUGAUGAGCGUGGGGUCGUACACUAUUGGGGAUUGAGACUUAGUCCAUCCCGAAUGACUGCUUUACUGCGUAUUUGAUUGGAAAUUUUUUGCUAUCAUCGUGUUUUGGGUUGAAUACCAUAUUUGGGCCUCAUGCCAAUUGUUUUGGACCCUUAGGGGAUUUUUACUGCUAUUUCCUCAUUGUUUUGAUUUUAUAUAUAUACUCAGUCAUGCUAUAUUCUACUGUUUUCAUAUCUCGGCCAUGUUUACUCUAUUUUAAUACUUUAAAUAAUAUUUUGGGCUGAGCAUUAUAUUUUACUAUGCCCGAGUGGCUUUUAGAGAUUUCUGACUGAGUAAGGCCGAGGGCCUGUGUUGUGAGGAUACUUUUGUGUCGGGUUGCACGCCGGAGCAGUUAUACACUGAUUUAUGAUUAUGAGGUCGAGGGCCUGAGUUGUACGCCACAACGUGGCUUGAUAUGAGGCCGAGAACCUAUUGAUUAUGCCACGAGGUGGCUUGAUAUUACCCUUGGGCCGUAAGGGGCCCCUCCCGGAGUCUGUACACCCCCAGUGAGCGCGGGUACCCUGAGUGAGUAAUAUAUUGAUUAUGCCAUGAAGUGGCUUGAUAUUGCGCUUGGGCCGUAAGAGGCCCCUCCCGGAGUCUAUACACCCCCAGUGAGCGCGGGUACCCAGUAUGAGAUGUGAUAUAGCCCGAGGGGCUGAUGUUGUUCCAUGUUCUUGACCGAGGGGUGGUUCUUGAUUUAUGUUAUGCCCGAGAGGCUGAUUACGAGUGUUUGUGAGGUAGCCCGAGGGGCUAGUUUUGUUGAUAUUAUGCUUGAGGGGCGGUUUAUGGUACAUGUUUUGCCCGAGAGGUUGUUUAUGUUUUCAUCCUUUUUACUCACUAUUUUAUCACUCAUUUGAAACUAUUGAAAGUUGUUUUAAAAAGUUUUUACGGAAACUGAGCUUGAUUUACGAAAUAAAUGAUUUUUGUAUUGUUUUGGAAAGGUACUGCAUUUGCUGUAGUGUUACACUGUGUUUUACGUGUUUUCUUGCUGCUCAGCUUUCAUUUACCUUUAUUACUUACUAGUUGGAGUACUCACAUUACUCCUUGCACCUUCUGUGUAGAUUGAGAUAUUUCUGAACCCGGUAGCGGGUAUUGAUUGCUCAGAGGCGGAGUCAUCGGAGUUUAGCAAGGUUGUUGCCCGGGGUUCGUGGCACAGCUUUUCUUCCUCUUGUUUUAUUAGAUUGUAUUUAGUACAUUUUCAGACUUUUCGUUGUAUUCAGACCUUAGUAGAUGCUCGUGACUUGUGACACCCCGAUGUCGAGCUUGUAUAUUAUUUCCGCACUAUCCAUUUAAACUCAUAUUAUGAAACAUUUGUUUAAAUUAAAGGCUUAAACAUGAUUCUUAUUGAUAAAUGGUUAAUUUGGGAGUUGUAUCGGCUGGCCUAGUUUCACGAUAGGUGCCAUCACGACCGGGUCGGUUUUAGGGUCGUGACAAUGCAUCUAGCAGUCAUUCCGAUGCACACCCCCGUUACCCCGAGGCUUAGUGGUGAGCUGCUUUCCGAGUCUGUUCUGCAGCACCCGCAGUUUCUCUCUUGUAUUUACUUUUUGUCUAUUUUAUUUCAGACAGUAGUAUAGGUGUUUUGUGUAUAUUCUAGUAGUUGCUCAUACACUUGUGAUACCAGGUCUUGAAAAUAUGCUAGUAGAUAUUUGAUGGUUUUUGAGUAUCUAUAUCACUGUUUCUUUAUGAGCUUACGCUUACUUUAUUAUUAUUUUCACUUCUUAUUUACUUAAUAAAUAGAAAUCAACUAUUUCGAAAUUAUUAAAAGGAAUAGAUACAUGGCUAAUUUCCCAUUGGCUUGCCUAGCAGCGACGUUGGGCGCCAUCACGGCCUAUAGGAGAAAUUGGGUCGUGAUAACGUGGAUAUGUUUUCUUUUGGAUAAAUCAACAUAUGAGCACUUUCAAGUAGGAUCUUUCAUAUAUAUUAUUGGUUGUUCAUAUUUAAUUUGUAUUAAUGUCGUUAUGAAAAAAUAAUUUAAAAAUAUAGGUUCUAUAACAAAUACAUAUAUUGUUAGAGUUUUGUAUCUAAAUUCUUGUAAUAAUUAAAAAAAUUCUUGUAUUUAAACGAAUAGCAUUACACUAUCAUUCAAUAUAUCUUUUAUGUCGGUUUUAAAUUAAGUCAAAAAGUUAUUUUUUUUAUGUUGGAGUACUUCUCUCUAACUUUUACUUAUUUUUAUUUUGUUCUUUUACCCAUUUCUCUUUAACUUUUAGAAAAGAUUUUUUUUCUUCUCGUGUCAUAUACUGUAUCGUAAGCACGUGCCUCGUAAAUUAGAAAAUUCUUUUCAUUUCUUGUGGAGCGGGCCGUAAGCCUGGGUAGUAUCAUGUACCACACUCUUAUGGGAGCGGGUCGUUCGCCUCGGUAGUAUAAUAUAUGCAUCUAUGGUUCAUGUCGCUCGAUCCUCGGCAAUGUACACGCUAUGAUGGGAUCGGCCGUUCGCCUUUUCUCAGUAUCAUAUUCUUAUAAGACCGGGCAGUUCGCCUCGGCAGUAUUGUAAACAUUGAAAUCGGGCUUAUAUGUAUUAUGAGGUAUACUACAGGCAUCGGGUCAGUGAAUUUGUAGUUGUUGUGCUUGGAGGAGGUUGCCUUGGGAAAAUGAGUGAUGCAAUGUGUUGUGUUGAUGUCAUCAUGGGUGCAUGAUCAUGUGUGGGUUCAGCAUGUGGAGAUUGAUACAGUGUUCAUAUGUGAGAAUCAUGUCUCAUAAAGAAAUCGGAGGUUGGGUUUGGUUCUAAGGCUUAUUGACCAAAUAAAAGGAAGAAACUUCAGUCUGGCUUGAGCUAAUGUGCUCAACUGGGUUGUGGUGGAACGGGUAGGUGCACAAGGUAUUGAACAGUAAUUUUGGGGCAACUCCAGAGUAGUUAUUAGCAUGUUCGAGAAUGAACGUAUGUUUAAGUAGGGAGAAUGUAAUGACCCGACCAGUCGUUUUGAGCCCUAGCGUGUCAUUCAGCGAUGUGAGGCCUUGAGUAGCUUCACUUCAUAUAUUAUAACUUGUGCGUGUGGGUCAGAAUUAGAUUUUGGGUAGUUCAGAGUUGAUUCGGAAGAAAUAUUCUAAUUUCGGAAGCUUUAAGUUGGAAAAAUUGACUAAGGUUUGACUUUGCGAAAACGACUUCGGAAUCAAGAUUUGAAGGUUCCAAUAGGUUUGUAUGAUGAUUUCGGACUUGGACGUAUGUUCGGGUUGAGUAUCAGGUGGUUCGGAAGCAUUUCGGCGCUUAUUAUGGAAGGUUGGCAUUUUGAAGGUUUAAAAAUUUCCUAAGUUUUGCUUUGAAGUGGACUUUGGUGUUAUCGAUGUCCAUUUAGGGGUCCGAGCCUUGGAAUAGGUUCGUAUUGUGAUUUGUGACUUGUACACAAAGUUUGGCGUUAUUCCGUAAUGUUUUGAUAUGAUUCGGAUGCGUUCGUCGAAGUUUGAAAGUUUAAAGGAGGUUUUGAUCAUCGAUUCGUAAUUUUGAUGUUGUUUGAUGUGAUUCUAGGCCUUGAGCAAGUUUGUGCCAUGUAUUGGGACUUGUUGGUGAGAUUGGACGGGGUCCCGGGGAACUCGGGUGUGUUUUAGAGGGACUACGGGUCAUUUCGCCAUGUUGAGCUAUUAUUUUCUGAAGUCUGGUGCGCCCUUGUUCGUGUUCGCAAGGAAAGGGUCGCGUUCACAAAGGUCUGUGAAGGUAUUUGGCCAUUUACUAAUCGCGUUCGCAAUUAGGGGUGCGCGUUCGUGAAGCCUUGGAGGAGGCAGUGCUGCGCGAUCGCGAGUGGGAUUAUGCGAUCGCGUAGAAGGCAAGCAUGUGCUGGGCACAAGGAAAAUUGUUCUAUGCAUUCGUGUUCCUGGAGCCGCGUUCGCGAAAGGGCUGAGGAGUUGGUCACAGCGUUCACGGCCAGUACAUCGCGUUCGCGAAAGGGAAUUUUUGGAUUUGGAGGAGGAUGCUCUUCGAGAACACGAGGGUAAGGCCGCGUUCGCGAAGAAAAUCGGACUAGGCAGUGUGGUUUUAAAAACGGGGGUUUGGCUCAUUUUCACUUCAUUUCUUCCAUGGGAGCCAACUUUGGAGCAAUUUUGGAGCACCAUUUUCAUUUUCAAUCAUGAGGUAAGUGAUUUUUACAAGUUGUGAGUUAAAUAUACGAAUUUAGGCUUGUAAAUUCAUGAAAAUUUGUGGAAAUUUUAAAUUUUUAAGAGAAAACCUAGAAAUCGAUAUUUUUGGAAUUUGACCACGAAAUUGGACAUGGAAUUGGGAAUAAAUUAUAUAUUUAUGUUUGUAAUAUUAUGGGUAAUGUUUAUCUUCAAAAAAAUUCGGAAUCCGGGCACGUGGGCCCGAAGGUUGACUUUAUUGACUUUUCGAGCGGAGUUGGAAAUUAUUAUAAUUUGAUUAAUUAUGGGUAUUAGAGUAUAUUUUUAUUGGUUUUCACAUUGUUUGACUUGUUUUGGAUCAACGGGCAUUGAUUUGAGGUGUUAGAGAGGCAUUUGAGCUGGUUAUGAAACUUCAGAGCGAGGUAAGUCUCAUGUCUAACCUUGUGAGAGGGAAAUUAAGGUCCGGAGUAGAUUUAAGCUUGACUUGACGAAAUUGAAAUUUUGGCAUUUCUGGUUGAUAGGUGAGAUUUUGAUAUAUGGGUCGGAAUUGAAUUCUGAAAGUUGCAGUAGGUUCGUUGUUUCAUUUGGGAUGUGUGCAAAAUUUCAAGUCAUUCGGACGUGGUUUGAUAGACUUUUUGAUCUAAAGCGGAAUUUAGAAGAUUUUGGAAUUCUUAGGCUUGAAUUCGAUGAGAAUUUAGUGUUUUAAUGUUGUUUGAGCGUUCCAAAGGUUGGAACAAGUUUGAAUGAUGUUAUGAGAUAUACUGGCAUGUUUGGUUGAGGUCCCAGGGGCCUCGAGUGAGUUUCGGGUGGUUAAACGGACCAUUUCAAGUUGUGAAAAGUUGCAAAAAAAUCUGUUGUAGUGUUGUAGACAGCAGUGCUUUGCGUUCGCGAGUGGGCCCUCGCGUUCGCGAGGGUGUCGCCGCGUUCGCGAAGGGUUAGAGUCAGAAAGCAUCGCAUUCGCAGGAGAGCAGACACGUUCGCGAUGGUGGAGUUGCUGAGGCAUCGCGUUCGCGAGGGUGUCGCCGCGUUCGCGAAGAAGAAUUUGAAUAUCUGGGCAAAAUGUUUUAAAAGCUCAUUUCCGCGAUUUUGGGCAUAAGUUCCUCCAUUUUUGGGCGAUUUUGAAGCUUUUUGAAGGGUAUAGAAGAGGGAAUCAAGGGGGAACACCUGGAGGUAAGAUUUAUGGACUUUAUACUCGAUCCUAAUGUGUUUUCUACCUAAUUAAUCAUGGAAUUUAAGCCUAAUAUUGAAGAACUAGCGCUUGUAAUUGGAGACCUAAAAUUAGAGAUUUGAGGGAUCAUUUGUGGUUGGAUUUUGGUGAUUUUGAUAUAAAUGAACUCGGGGAGUGAUAAGGAGUCUAUUGAUGUAAUUUUUAUCCGAAUCCGAGACAUGGGCCCGGGGGUUGGGUUUGACCAAUUUCGGGAUUUGUGUUGUAAUUUUAUUUCUUUCAAGUAAGCUUUGUUCCCUUAGCAUAUUUUGAUGGUUUUGCAUUGAUUUUGGUUAGAUUUGGAGCAUCCGGAGGCCAAUUCGAGGGGAAAGGGCAUCGCAAACUAAAGUUCGGACCGGAUAGAGGUGAGUAAUGAUCGUAAAUAUUGUCCUGAGGGUAUAAAACCCCGGAUUUAACAUCGUUGUGCUAUAUUGAGGUGACGCACACGCUAGAUGACGAGCGAGGAGUCGUGCACCGUUGGGGAUUGUGACUUAGUCUAUCCCGAAUGACUGUUUUACUGCGUAUUUGAUCGAAAACUAUUUGUUAUCAUCAUGUUUUGGGCUGAAUGUCAUAUUUGGGCCUCGUGCCAAGUAUUUUGAACCCUUAGGAGAAUUUUUACUGUUAUUUCCUCACUGUUUUUUAUAUAUGUACUCAGUCGUGCUAUAUUCUACUGUUUUCAUGACUCGACCAUGUUUACUCUGUUUUAACACAUUAAAUGAUAGUUUAAAUAAUAUUUUGGGUUGAGCAUCAUGUUUUACUAUUGCCCGAGUGGCUUAUGAGAUUAUGACUGAGUAAGGCCUGUCACACCUCCUUUUUCCUACCCUCGUAGGGCUAUAAGGGAGUUUGUCCAAUUUAAGUGACAAUCGAAACGGGAUUAUUUUGUUUAAAAUUCAGAGUCGCCACGUGGGAUAAUUUAUGGUGUCCCAAGCCACCGGUUUUAAAUCCCGAAUCGAAGAAAGAUUGACUUUGUUUUAGUCCACGAACACAGAAAUCCGGGUAAGGAAUUCUGUUAACUCGGGAGAAGGUGUUAGGCAUUCUCGGGUUCCGUGGUUCAAGUACGGUCGCUCAACUAUUAUUAUUGGCCUAAUUAUCUGAUUUUAAAACACUUUUAAACCUAUGUGCAUUUUUAACUUUAAAACCGCUUUUAUUAAUUUAAGGAAUUAUUUAAAGGUUAUUUAAAACACAUCGCAAGCCACGCUACAUGAAAUGCACCCGUGAUUCACGACACGUUCUAUUUAACCUUGUUGGAAAUUAGAAUCGGGUCACAUAAAAUAUACACCCGGAUUUUAGUAAUUACAAAUCACAACUACGUUACGGGAACCACAGCCAUAGCCAUGAUAAUUAUUUAAUUAACGCACCUGAAGCAAACUACAAUAUUUAUGAAUAUUAACGGCCUAAGCGUGCUCCUAACGAUCCAAAAUCACAUCAAUAAGCAAGAUCUAAAAAAUAUACAACUCCAAUCGUUACAAAAUUUAGUUGAAAUCGUUACUCAAUCCAAUAUCACUUUGGUCCAAUUCACUGUCAUUUUAGCCCAUACUUAUCGUUUUGAUACAAAUUGCAAACAAAUUAUUCACUUUCAGAACAAAUUACUAAGUUGCAAUAGUUUUGUAAAAAUAUCACCUCCCUUUACAUGACUAAAACUCAUUAUGGUUCAUAAUAAAAUCAAACUAGUAGACUAAUUUCAAACAAGACACGGUAAACAAACUAGCAAACAACUCAACAUUUUUAGAGGUCUUAAACUAAUUUGAAACAAGACACAAUAAACAAAUCAAACUGAUAGGCUAAUUAAUCAAAACAACUAAGGCAUACUCAACAAAAUUGAACAAGAAAAACUCACUCAAAAUGUUCAAACAACUAUGUAAAGGGAAAUGAGAUGGACCUCUAUUACUGUAAUUUGUUCUCGAGCCAAUAAAAUGGAUUUCCAGUCGCAAUGGUCGCGAGCAGCUACAAUUGUUCAGGUGUUAUUAAAUAGAACCCGACUUGUCAAACAAAACUUGACCACGAACCGGAGCCUUCGAUCGGAACCUUGAUAGCAAACCUCGAGCGAACCUCUGUCUUGCUCCGAUAACUGUUUUCAUGGAUAAUCUGCUACUAAAGCUAUGGUGUGUUCAUAGUAACCUUUGAAGAACAAUGAAGGGAUAACGAUGGAUGGUGUUGAAGGGGUUGUUGUGAUGGCGUCGCGGCUGAGUGAGAGACAGUGACGGGAGGAACUGGAGGGGUCUAUUUUCGCUGGUGUGAGGUCGGAUCGUUUAGCUGCUGCUUCUCCUUUAAUCUCUGUGUGUUUUUGUUAAUGAAGAUGGUGAAGAAGCAGAAUGGGUGGGAGGGCCUGAAUCUUGGAUGAAGAGAGAUUCCUUUGGUCUCUAGUGUUGAAAUGGCUGACUAUCGAGAUGGAGUUUUGCUAGGGUUCUUCUAUGUCUGCUUCUUUGUGUGUGAGGAAGAUGAUACUUAAGGUGUGUCUAUAUUCAAAAUUAGAAAUGGUUCUGUGUGUUGGACCUUCUAGGGUCUUUUUGUUAAGUUUCCAUAAGGAAGAAGAGAGCUCCAGGUUGUCUUCUAUUGUGUGCUAAAGCUUAAGGCUUUUGAUCCAAGAUCCUUAUGGAAAACGGCGGAUACUGUGUAUUCUUUUCCUAGGGUUCGCUCCUUAGGUCUCUAUAAAGAAGAAAGGUCUGAUGGAGAGUGAGGGUCUCUCUAUUGUGUGUUGCGGCUGAUGUAAAGUCUAGGGUCUAGGUUUUUUUUUAUUUUUCUUGUAUAUUAUGCUAAAGGGGUGUCUAGGUUUGGUCUUUUGAGUUAAUGGGCUAAGAGAUUGAUUUAAUUGGGCUACAAGCAAGACUAAAUUAGUCCAAAAAAAAUUAAUUCUAUUCCCUCCUCCUUUUUGUAUGUAAAAAUAAUAUAGCAAACAAGAUAAACUAUUAAAAAUACUACUUAAUUUUACUUAAGAAAAUAACUAUUAAAAUACACUAACCGUUUAAAAUAAACCUAUUUUUGGGUAUUUUUUUCAAGAUUAAAAAUGACUACAAAACUUUAAUGAAACUAUUUUUUUGUAAUUUUUAUUUUUUGUGAGAAAAUAAAGUAAAAGGGUCAAAACUAAUUAAAAUAGCGAUAUUAGACCUAAACUAAAUAUUUACAUGCUAAAAUAUAAAAAAUCUUGGGGAGGGUAAAAAAUCACAUGUCUACAGCUGCCCCUCUUUGAUUGGGAACGCGAUGAGUUUUCAGAUAAAGAAUGACUAGACAAGGUUUUUUGACCCGACCCCUAUUUAGAGAGACCAAAAGCUAAAAGAAAGGAGAAUGUGACUGAGCCCCGGUAUCUGAGCUACCUAUAUAUCCUUGGCUAUAAAGGAAUCAGGUCACGUGUAGUUGAGAAGUGAGUGAAAUGAUGGAGUGUACUGAGGUGGAUAGCCGGCCGAGGUGUCGUUCCGUCGAGGUUCCGGUCCGCGGUCCUGUUAUUACAUCAAAAUCAAAAAAUAAAAAAGACUACUAAGCUUGUCAACUAUGAGUUACAAGAUUCUUAUAUAUAAGUUUCCUGAAGCUUGAUCUUGAGUCUUGAAUGGUUCUUCAAGCAGACUUUGGAUUUGAACCUUGACGCUUGCUAGUUGCAGGUGUUAGUUCAUUCUUCUUCAGCUUUUCGAAUCAAAACCGGACAUAGCAUGCUUGUGACUUCAGUCAUGUCUUGAGCAGCUCACAUCUUUCAUCAAAUUCUGCAUUUGGAUUCACUUCUUGCAUUUCUUUUUUUUUAUUCUGGAUUGUGACUAACUUCCGUUGAUCAUCUCGGACUGUUGACGCGCAUUCUUGUCGCGAGAUUCUUUUGUUGCUGACUUGAACUGCAUUCUAAAGUGAAUCUCCUUAUUCUCCAGGUGGCGCCUAAUUGCCAACAUUUGAAUUGUAUUCCCAUGUUCUCUAAGCGGGCGCCUGAUUACCAAGACUUGAAUUGUAUUCCCUUUGUUACCUUAAAUUGUUUUCCUUUGAAACCUGUGAUGUCUUCCUUUGAAACUUGAACUGCUUUACUUGUUCUCCAGGUUGGUGUCUGAUUGCCAAAACUUGAACUGUAUUCCCUUGCUCUCUAGGUAGGCGCCUGAUCGCCAAAAGUUUAACUGUAUUCCCUUGCUCUCUAGGUGCGCGCCUGAUUGCCAAACUUUAACUGUAUUCCCUUGCUCUCCAGGUGGGCGCUUGAUUGCCGAUACUUUCAAAUGUAUCCCUCGAAACAUGACUUGUUUCCCUUGUUCUCCAGUUGGGCUCCUGAUUGAUGAACUUGAAUCAUCUUCCUUUGAACAUUGCUGCUUUCCCUUUGUUCUCCAGGUGGGUGCUUGAUUACCAACAUUUGUACUAUUUUUCCUUGAGACUUGAACUGCUUCUCCUUGUUCUCCAGGUGGGUGCCUGAUUUCCAAUACUUGCACAUGUUUUUCAUUGAGACUUGAACUGUUUCUCCUUGUUCUCCAGGUGGGCACCUGAUUUCCAACACUUGCACUGCUUUUCUUUGAAACUGCUUUCCUUGAAACUUGAAUUGUUUUCCCUUGUUCUCCAAGUGAGGCCUGAUUUCCUAUACUUGCACUGCUUUUCUUAACUACUUUCCUUGAAACUGCUUUCCCUUGAAACUUGAACUGUCUUUCCUUGUUCUCCAGGUGGGCGCCUGAUUGCUGAACUUGACCUGUUUUCCUUUGAACUGCUUUCCCUUGAAACUUGAACUGUCUCCUCCUUAUUCUCCAGGUGGGCGCCUGAUUGCUGAACUUGACCCGUUUUCCCUUAAAACUUGAGUUGUUUUCCUUUGUUCUCCAGGUGGGCGCCUGAUUACAAUAAAACAGACAAAACAAAAGAAAUUUUUCUGCCCCAGUUUGAUAUUGGGAACAUCUGUGAGUGUUAACCAAUUCUUGUUAUCAAAAUAAGUUCUAAGCUAAAUUCCCUUUUUCCUGAAAAAUUUCAAACCAAGUCUCAUCUCAAAAGUGAAAAACUUAAAUGCUAAAUUAUAUUUCCCAAAAGUAACACUCUCGUUAGACCUUGUCAUUUGCAAGGGUCUCAAACUUACUAAAUCCCGUUAUCCAGGAAGGUACUGAAAACUUACUGUUGAGCCUGUUUGGAACCUACUUUCUCACGGAGGGUUUCUCCGGAACAAACAAAAUUUCCUAGCCUUGUUUCAAUCAAAUAAAACAUGUGAGUUUAAACAUGGUGGUUGGUUUAUGGCCUUGACUUUGAGGGCGAUUGCUCUUUCACUUCCCAUGAUAACCUCGAUUUCAACUCGAGAGACCUAGCUUGUUUAUUGACUGACCACUUUCUCUGUCACCCUUGUCACGAAAAAAAAUACCUCUAAUCCGUUCAAACCCAAUACCAUUCAUCUACUGCAUUGUGCUCAUGCAUUGACAUAUACCGACCCUUUGUGUUUCACAUGAAUCCCAAAGCACGUCAAUUGUCACCCACUCAGUGCGCAUGUUGUUCUUUCCUAACUUAAACCACUGGCCUUGGCCUUGGCCUUGAGGUCUAUUCCUCCUUCACUUGCCAUUAUAACUUUGAUCUCCGCUUGGAAGACCUUGUUUGUUAUUGGUUAACUACUUUCUCUGUCAACCUUAUCACAGAAAAUACCUUUGAUCCGUUCACCCAACAUCCUNNNNNNNNNNNNNNNNNNNNNNNNNNNNNNNNNNNNNNNNNNNNNNNNNNNNNNNNNNNNNNNNNNNNNNNNNNNNNNNNNNNNNNNNNNNNNNNNNNNNNNNNNNNNNNNNNNNNNNNNNNNNNNNNNNNNNNNNNNNNNNNNNNNNNNNNNNNNNNNNNNNNNNNNNNNNNNNNNNNNNNNNNNNNNNNNNNNNNNNNNNNNNNNNNNNNNNNNNNNNNNNNNNNNNNNNNNNNNNNNNNNNNNNNNNNNNNNNNNNNNNNNNNNNNNNNNNNNNNNNNNNNNNNNNNNNNNNNNNNNNNNNNNNNNNNNNNNNNNNNNNNNNNNNNNNNNNNNNNNNNNNNNNNNNNNNNNNNNNNNNNNNNNNNNNNNNNNNNNNNNNNNNNNNNNNNNNNNNNNNNNNNNNNNNNNNNNNNNNNNNNNNNNNNNNNNNNNNNNNNNNNNNNNNNNNNNNNNNNNNNNNNNNNNNNNNNNNNNNNNNNNNNNNNNNNNNNNNNNNNNNNNNNNNNNNNNNNNNNNNNNNNNNNNNNNNNNNNNNNNNNNNNNNNNNNNNNNNNNNNNNNNNNNNNNNNNNNNNNNNNNNNNNNNNNNNNNNNNNNNNNNNNNNNNNNNNNNNNNNNNNNNNNNNNNNNNNNNNNNNNNNNNNNNNNNNNNNNNNNNNNNNNNNNNNNNNNNNNNNNNNNNNNNNNNNNNNNNNNNNNNNNNNNNNNNNNNNNNNNNNNNNNNNNNNNNNNNNNNGGUGACAAGAAUCAGGUCAAACGUAGUUCACAAGACUACUUUUGUUACUAUUUUCCUUUUUUUUGUUUUUGCUUUUUUUUUCUUUUCCUUUUUCCUUCUUUUUCCUUUUUCUUUUUUUUUCUUCUUUUUUUCUUUAUCUUUAUUUUUCUCUUUUUUUUGAAUUUUCCUUUUGGAAUAAACUUUCUAAAAUAAACCUAUGGGGACAUGAACUUUUUUUUUCGUAUGACUCUAACUUGAUUCCAAAAGAGGGGAAGCCAAAGAAAUCAGUACAAACUCAAAAGGGUAUCAAAUGGUAUAAGUGUUUGGGUAGCUGAAAGAGGGCCUCCCAAUCCCUGAAAAUGCCAAGUACAACAUAUGCAACUUGAAAUGAAAAUUAAAGAUCAUGCACAAUAUUUCUUUUGCGACUUUGGCAUUGAUAUUACUGAUAUGCCUUCCACUUUUCUUUAGCGCCUUGUCAAGUACAGAACCCUCAUUGGGUGAUUCCCUUUUCACAAUGGAUAUCCUCCAUCAAUUUGGUGAAAACUUCCUUGACUUUAUCUUGUAACUUGAGAUGCACUUGAACUCAAAGUUAUUUGUUUCAAAUAAUCCGGGAUGCACUCUCCUUUAACGAAUUCUUGUCAUCAUAUUAUCUUCCCAAAUUAUCUCCCCAGUUUCCCAUGGUUCGGGCUUCAAAUGAUCUCAAAAUGUCCAAAUCUGUACCUAUUUCCCUCAAGUGUCCAUAUCAUCUUCAAAAUUAUUUCAUUGCUUCAUGACUUCAUGAUUAAUCUAACUUUUAAGACUAGGCCUAGAAGUAUGCAUGCAUGUCAUUUCACUAGAGCCAGCAUGAAAAGAACUAUAAAAAGAGAAGAGAACUAAACAAAAAAAUGACUGAAAAUAACAGAAAAUAGAAAAUCGCAUUAGACAAAUGGUGAAACGGUUCGAACAACAAAACAAGCAAACUAAACUGGGGUUAUAAUCCUGGAACAAACCUAGACAAUACUAAACGAGUUACUACGACUAAACGAACCAGGCAAAAUAAAAGGAUAGAAGGGUUUGAGUCACAGGACAAUAUCCGGAUUACAACGUUGAAAAUAACCUGGACAACAAAAAUGACAACAAAAUAAACCACCACAACUCCUCCUCGGCUAGUCAAGAAAUGGAGCGUCUUUCCAAUUACCAAGCACGACAUCUUAGCCACUAGAUUCCACAUCAAUAUUGCCAAGACCAUUACCAACUUCAAUAUCAUUAACUUCAGUCAGCAAAUUCCCAAGAGAAUUCGCAUGCUCCCUAUCACUGUCCUUGAUCACAAUUACCCCUUCUUGAAUCAUUCUUUCUAGUUCCCUUUUCAAAGCACGAUAAUCUUCAAUGAUAUGCCCUUGGACGUUAGAGUGGUACAUGCAUCGUACAGUAGGAUCAAAACCUUUUACAUAUGGGUCUGGAGUAUAGCCAAGGUGUGGCUCAAUCAGGCUAGAAUGCUUUAAUUUUUAGAACAAGCUUGUGUAGGACUCCCCGAUUGGCGUAAAAAUAUUUCUUUGCCUUUGUUCCCCUCUCUACUCCUAUUUUCUAGGGUUGUUGGGUGCCUGAAAAUGUUGUGAAGGCAAAAGUGCAUUAUGUGGCGCUAUCGCUCGCCAUGAGGAAUGACCUAGUGGUUGGACAGAUGGCCAGACAUUGUUCGGAGGAUAAUACUGGGGUGGAUUAUGUGGAGCUCGGGGAUAUUCAUGGGGUCAGUAUUGAGGCUAAAAGCGUUAGCAGGAACGCCCACUUGAUCCUGUCGUUGGCGAGGCUCAGCAACAUCUUUUCUAUCAAUGGGAGGAAUGUCCCGAGCAACUUGUUCGUUCCAUCUGAACCAAAAUUCUCUAAAACUUUCUUUGGGUUUCUUUUCCAUCUGAGAUAGGGAGAAACGGUCUGGGGCAAUGUCUAUAUUGUACUGAAAGUUUCGCAUAAAAUCUUGAGUCAUGUCAUCCCAUGUAUGCCACUUGCCGACAUCUUGACGAGUAUGUCAUUCCAAAGCUGCCCCAGUCAGGCUCUCACUGAAAUACGCCAUCAGCAACUCAUCUUUCCCGCCAACACUUCUCAUUUCACUGCUAACCCCUCAUAUGGGAUACUGGAUCUCCACGCCCAUCAUACAAAUUAAAUUUUGGCAUCUUAAACCCUUUCAACUUUCUGGAUAUCUCAUCUUGUUCCACUAUCUUAGCAGGCUUUGCAGUCUCACCGGGAGGCUCAAAAUUGGUCAAAGGAGCGGGAUGUGAGGUGGUUCUGGGGGGUUGAGUGUGAAAAGGUUGUGGGGAGAUGUCAGCAGCACUGGGAAUCUGGAUUUGUGAUAGUGGUAGGAUGUUGACAAGGCAUUCAGUAUAGUUAGUGGGAAAUAAUGGUGGAGGACGCCCACUAACCCAGGUUUGGUAUAUUUCGGUCAUCUGUCCUUUCAAUCUUAAGACCUCUUCUUUCAACUCAGAUUUUGACCCAACAAUCUCCUUAGAUGGAUCAAUAACACUCGUGUCCAAGUCUUUGCUAGCCAUGGCUACCUUGCUCUUUGAACGUGUGUUGUGUGGAUGAGUUACUUAAGAACCACAAACCAACCACCCUUCUGCUCAAUGAUGAUAUCAAAAGGAACAAAAUGGGGUCAUCCUGUUAGCGUUAGGGCAUUUAACAGCUAAAAAUAUCACAUUGCGUGCAAUGCACCUAGCAACAAUUAACGGUUCUAGAAUGACUUCGAGGGUCACAAGGUCACUUGGCAUCAUCCUAAUUUUGUUUAUUUCAAUCUUCUCUUUUCUUUUCUUUUCUUUUCUAGCACUUCCUAGCUUGCUCAUUUUCCUUCAUUUUCUUUUCUUUCUGAUUAUCGCUCUUUUCUUUCCUCUCAUUUCUCACGUCCCACAACUUCAUCCUUUUUUUUUCUUUUUUUCUUUUCUUUCUUUUUUCUUCUUUUUCUUUUUCUUUUAUAAGUAAAAAAAUGAUUCAAUUGAACCCUAUGUAGGUUGUCUAUGUAUCAUGACACCGCAUGAAUCAAAUCUUUGCAUAGUUCGGGAAGAUCGGAAAUAAAGCAAACGUACUAACGUUCUCUUUUUCUUUUUCUUUUCUUUUUUACCUUAAUGAUUACUUUGAUGAGAAGAAAAAAUAAAAAAAGCAAAUCCUUUUUUUUAAAUUUUCUAGACUUAAUGUUUUAUAACCUAUUCUAAACUAAAGCUUAAUGGACAUAUUUUUUUUUUCUUUUUAAAACAAAUACUCUAUUAAGAAAAAAUUCUACAAGAGAAAAAUAUUUUUUGACUCUUUUUUUAGGAAGGAAAUCUAAAAAAUAAACUAAAGAAAUAUAUUUUGAUUUCGUUUGAUAUCCUGAAAGAAAAUUUUCGAAUCAAGAAAUAAAAAAGAUAAAAAACUAUUUUUGGAUUUCAAUUUUUAAUUACCUAAAGGAGAAAUUCUAAAGAUAAACAAAAGAUAAGGUAUGUUAUUUUCUUCUAUGUAUAAUGUCCUAAAGUUCUAGUAAAAAUAAAAAAAUUUCUAUUCAUUUUUCAUUAAUUUCGCAAAGAAAAACCUCAAAAGAAAAUCUUUUUGGAUUUUUGGAAUUAAUACCUUAAAGAAAACUUUUAAAGAGGUACUAAAAGAAAAUUCUUUUUUUUUUUUGAAUUUUUAGUCUUAAUAUACUAAAGGAAAUAUAAAAGUAAAUUUUUUUAUUUUACGUUCUAGAUAUUAAUUGCCUAAAGGAAAACCACCUCAAUUUUUUUUUUUUUAGGAGUAGUAUUUCUAAAGAAAAUUCUAACGAAAAUAUAAAAACGUAAACUAUCUUCUUCUUUUUUUGGAUUUUUGAGUUACAACACACUUUUUCAAAUAUAAAUCUCCUUAAGCAACUCCUGAAUGAGCAAUCCUGACUAGAUGAUCUCGGGGUAUCUGUCAUGCUCAAACUCCGGUAAGUAGAUCCACACCUGUAUGAAAAAAAACUAAAACCAACACUAGGUGAGACAAUAACACUCCCUAUUGGACGCAUGCAAGACAUGAUUGAGGCUAUUUUUGCAAAAUGGCUUAUGUGACCAAAAGGUGGCUAGAAAUGCAAAAUUUGGCUAAGACCCCGCAAAGACAAGAACCUAAGAUUCACUAGGAAGACUGGACUCUAUGUGGGUUACCUACGUAUCACGCCCCGAAAGACGAGAAUCAUGUAUGCGUAGUUCGGGUAGAUUGGAUACGGGCGGGAAUUACAAAAAUAACUAAUUUAGAGAAAAAUAUUUUUUUUUGUCUUUUUUUAAAAAAAAUGAUAAAACAUGUAAACUCUUUUUGGAUUUUUUUUUUCUUUUUUUUUUGAUUUUCGGAAAAUGAUGAAAAGUGCAAAACCUUUUGUUGAAUUUUUCAAGUUUUUUUUUCCUUAACAAAAUAUGACAGAAAACAUAAUCGAGCCCUACUUGCCUUAUUUUUCACACUUCACCCUCUCUCUUUUUUCUUCUCUUUUUUUUUCUUUUGCCCUCAACUAUCAUUGGUCCGCCAAAUGAUCCUUUUACCCUUGAAAAAAUGCAACAUGUAGCACAUAGGAUGCAUCAAGAUGGUCUGUUAUUCUGGGUAUACUUGUCUUAGACCGACCCAACCCUUGUGUUGAGUCCCCAAAGUCAGAUGCACAUGAUGCAACAAACGUUCCUACUAGGGAUCCGUCAUGAGGCUAUGUUAUUCUAGGUUUAAAACCUGGGUUUAUUUGUUCUAAACCUGGUUUACCCAAGCGGACAGCUCGAGCCGAGGGGGAGCAGUGUACCGGGAAUAUAGAAGCUUCACCGGCUUUGCAACUUGUCCGAACCUCAUUCUAAAAUUGGGAUAUGACUCUAACAGAAGAGAAGUUACACGAAGUGCACCUUAAUCAGAUGAUUUAGAAGACUUAGAGAGAGGAGGGUUUCGCACCAAUUUAUAUACAGUUCAACAAUAUCAAAGCAGUAAAAAGCAGCAUUUAGCACAUUAGGCCCAAACAUGUAAAUAAAACCAGAUAAUAAAUAAAGCCAAAUAUAACAAUUAUUCUAAGCUCGAAUUCUUGAACCCUGAACCAGAGAUUCUGGGUUCUUGUCCCCAGCAGAGUUGCCAGAGCUGUCACACCUCCUUUCUCCUACCCCCGUAGGGGUAUAAGAGAGUUUCUCCAAUUUAAGUGACAAUCAAAACGGGAUUUUUUUGUUUAAAAUUCAGAGUCGCCACUUGGGAUAAUUUAUGGUGUCCCAAGUCACCGGUUUUAAAUCCCGAAUCGAGGAAAGAUUGACUCUGUUUUAGUCCGCGAACACAGAAAUUGGGGUAAGGAAUUCUGCUAACCCGGGAGAAGGUGUUAGGCAUUCUCGGGUUCCGUGGUUCUAGCACGGUCGCUCAACUAUUAUUAUUGGCCUAAUUAUCUGAUUUUAAAACACUUUUAAACCUAUGUGCAUUUUUAACUUUAACCCCGCUUUUAUUGAUUUAAGGAAUUAUUUCAAGGUUAUUUAAAACACAUCGCAAGCCACGCUACAUGAAAUGUACCCGUGAUUCACGACACGUUCAAUUUAACCUUGUUGGAAAUUAGAAUCGGGUCACAUGAAAUGUACCCGAAUUUUAGUAAUUACAAAUCAUAACUACGUCACGGGAACCACACCCGUAACCAUGAUAAUUAUUUAAUUAAUGCGCCUGAAGAAAACUAUGAUAUUUAUGAAUAUUAACGGCCUAAGCGUGCUCCUAACGAUCCAAAAUCACAUCAAUAAGCAAUAUCUAAACAAUAUACAACUCCAAUCGUUACAAAAUUUAGUUGAAAUCGUUACUCAAUCCAAUAUCACUUUGGUCUAAUUCACUGUCAUUUUAGCCCAUACUUAUCGUUUUGGUACAAAUUACAAAUAAAUUAUUCACUUUCAAAACAAAUUACUAAGUUGCAAUAGUUUUGAAAAAAUAGCACCUCCCUUUACAUGACUAAAACACAUUAUGGUUCAUAAUAAAAUCAAACUAGCAGACUAAUUUCAAACAAGACAGAGUAAACAAACUAGCAAAUAACUCAACAUUUUUAGAGGUCUUAAACUAAUUUCAAACAAGACACAAUAAACAAACCAAACUGGUAGACUAAUUAAUCAGAACAACUAAGGCAUACCCAACAAAAUUGAACAAGAAAAACUCACUCAAAAUGUUCAAACAACUAUGUAAAGGGAAAUGAGAUGGACCUCUAUUACUGUAAUUUGUUCUCAAACCAAUAAAAUGGAUUUCCAGUCGCAAUGGUCGCGAGUAGCUACAAUUGUUCAGGUGGUAUUAAACAGAACCCGACUUGUCAAACAAAACUUGACCACGAACCGGGACCGUCGAUCGGAACCUUGACAGCAAACCUCGAGCGAACCUCUGUCUUGCUCCGAUAACUGUUUUCAUGGCUAAUCCGCUACUGAAGCUAUGGUGUGUUCAUAGUAACCUUUGAAGAAUAGUGAAGGGAUGACGAUGGAUGGUGUUGAAGGGGUUGCUGUGAUGGCGUCGCGACUGAGUGAGAGACAGUAAUGGGAGGAACUGGAGGGGUCUGUUUUCGCUAGUGUAAGGUCGGAUCGUUCGGCUGCUGCUUCUCUUUUAAUCUCUGUGUGUUUUUGUUAAUGAAGAUGGUGAAGAAGCAGAACGGAUGGGAGGGCCUGAAUCUUGGCUGAAGAGAGAUUCCUUUAGUCUCUAGUGUUGAAAUGGCUGACUAUCGAGACUGAGUUUUGCUAGGGUUCUUCUAUGUCUGCUUCUUUGUGUGUGAGGAAGAUGAUACUUAAGGUGUGUCUAUAUUCAAAAUCAGAAAUGGUUGUGUGUGUUGGACCUUCUAGGGUCUUUUUGUUAAGUUUCCAUAAGGAAGAAGAGAGCUCCAGGUUGUCUUCUAUUGUGUGCUAAAGCUUAAGGCUUUUGAUCCAAGAUCCUCAUGGAAAACGGCGGAUGUUGUGUAUUCUUUUCCUAGGGUUCGCUCCUUAGGUCUCUAUAAAGAAGAAAGGUUUGAUGGAGAGUGGGGGUCUCUCUAUUGUGUGUUGCGGCUGAGUAAAGUCUAGGGUCUAGGUUUUUUU
rnacentral:lncRNA from 1 species